rnacentral:lncRNA from 1 species
UUUGAUUUUAGUAGAAGUGGUUAAAUUUUUUAUAAUUUAUUUUAGUUCAUAUUCAUUGUUCUUAACUCUUAAUAUAUUUUCUUAAUAUGAAAGCACAAUGUGUGUGACUUUGCAAACUGUCACUUUUUCAACAAUCUUCAUACAAAAAAUACGUAAUGAAGAUCACUUCCUAUCCAAGGUCGUUUGUUUAUCCUAUAUUAUGGCCAUUGAGAACAUAAAAAAAAACUUGAAUCAAACCCAACUACAGAUGUUUAAAACAUCUUGUUUUGGCCACUUCUUAGGUAUGACUGAUUUGAAAUUUUAUGCUCAAAUUAUUCAUAAUAUGUUGUUAUGCUAAUAUAACAUUAAAAAAAAAAAAGAAGAUAAGAUGUGGAUACUUGUUUACUCAAAAGGAUUAAGAUUUAGUGCCUUGGAGUUUGCUUUGAUCACUGGGUUGAUAUUUGGUAAUGUUUCACAAUUUGACUUAAUAUCAUUAAAAAUAAGGGAUAAAUACUUCAAUGGGGAGAACAAGAUUUGUAAUGAUCGAUUAGAGGAGGAUUUCAUCUCAUUAUAUGAAAAAUGAAAGAAAAUGAGCACAAAUAGGAUAAAAAAAAAAGGCAAAGUAUAGUAAGAAAUCAAAUUUUGACGAAGACAUUAUAAAGUUAACAUUGUUAUACUUUGUUGAGCAUGUUCUACUAGGAAAGAAAGGGAAGAAUUUAAUAGAUUUACAAUGGGUUCAACUUGUUGAUAGUUUAGAGCAAUUCAAAAGUAUCCAUGGGGGAGAAUUUGCUAUGAAAGAACGUUAUUUAGGUUACAAAAAGCUUUGGAUAAAAGAAUAUCAAAAUAUGUGAAGAAAAAGGAAAUGCAACCUAUGAAGCAUGUCUUUCAAAUUUGGGCGUAUUUAGUCAUUCCACUGCUUGGAAUGAAAUAUGCAAGUCGCGUUGGUAGAAGUUUCCCUAGAAUUUUAAAUUGGAGAGGGACUGCAAUUUUAAAGUACACUGAGCUUCAAUCCUUAUUUUUAGAGUCAAAUGUGAGUAAUGUUUUAAUAUUUUUUUAUAUUUGCUUUUUUAUUUGCAUAACCAUAUUCUUAUUAUUAACUAGUUUCUUUCUACUUUGAAUUAAUAUUUAUCCUUUUAUUCCAUAUUCAUUCCUACAUUGGAAGAGUAUGAACAAGAGUAUAUGAAUUAUUUUUAAUUAGAGGGUGAGUCAGGUGAUGCCUUAGAAGACGAUGGGAAUGAUUGGGACUAUUACCUUCUUUUUUUAUGUUUCAUUGCUGCAAUAACAACAAAAGUAUAUGUUGCAGAUUCAAUUUGAAGAUCAUGAGGAAUCAGCAACCUAUACUACUGCUGUUGCUACAACAAUGAAAGGUGGAAAAGAAGGCGAUAGUCCCAAUCAUUCACAUCAUCUUCUAAGGCAUCACCUGACUCACCCGCUAGUUUAAUACAUUUCACAUACUCUUGUUUAUGUUCUUCUAGUGUGGAAAUGAGUAUGAAAUGCAAAAAUAACUAUUAAUUCAAAGUAGAAAGAAACUAUUUAAUAAUAAUAAUAUGGUUAUGUAAAUAAGAAAGCAAAUGUCAACAAAUAUUAAGACAUAACUUACAUUUGACUAUAAACACAAGGAUUGAAGCUUAGGUGUAUUUUGGAGAUGCAGUACCUCUCCAAUAAAAAAUUUUGGGAAAACUUCUACUAAUGUGACUUGCAUAUUUUAUUCCAAGUAAUGAAAUGACUUCAUACGCCCAAAUUUGAAAGGCAUAUGCUUCAUAGAUUGCAUUCCCUUUUUCUUCUUUUUUUUCCACAAAUUUUGACAUUCUUUUGUCCAAAAUCUUUUGUAACCCAAUUAAUUAAUUUUUUUUUUUUUUUUGAUAGGUAAAAGAGAUUCUAUUAAAAAAAGAGACACCAAGAAGGUGGCUCAAGAUACACAAACCUAUACACCCACCUUCAAGAAAACGCUAAAAAAACAAAAAGCCCCAAAAUACAACCCUAAUUAGAGCCCAUCCAAUCGAUAAAAUUAGCUAUAGUUAGAGGGCAAUCAACUAUGAACAAUUUUGUUUCAGCCCAAAGAGAAAGAAUAAAAGAGUAUUUCAAUCUUUGAAUUGACAACAUAUCAUCCUUGAAAGCCAAACAAUUCCUCGCCUUCCAAACCGUCCAAAAAAUGUGUAGAGGAGCCGCUCUCCACACCUUCUUGCGCUUUUUGCCCACAAAAGAACCAUGCCAGCUUAGAAGGGUUUCUUUAACAGAAGAAGGCAACACCCAAGAUACCCCAAAUAAAGUAAAAAGAAGAUCCCAUAAAACCUUUGUUCUUGAACAAUGAAGAAGGAGAUGGUCUAUGGUCUCCUCAUUCUCAAGGCACAAAAAACAUCUAUUUGCCAAAGCCCAUCCUCUUUUCUGCACCUUGUCCAAGGUUAGAGCUUUGCCCCACGUAGCCUCCCAUGCAAAAAAACUAAUCUUGUGCUGCACAUUCUCAUUCCAAAUAAGGCUUGAAGGAAACCGAAUCGAACACCCCGCUUCAAGGGCCAAGUAUAAAGAUUUAAUCGAGAAUUUACCACUCUUAGUUUCAGUCCAGGAUACCAUGUCCUCCACAUCCUCAAUAACUCUGUUACGAUGUAACCACUCCUUAAAACUUGACGCUUCCUCUACCUCCCAAUCAUUGAAAGCUAUUAAAAAGCAUGGAUUCCAACCCUCCCAUCCCCCCUCCGCCAAGGAGUCCCAAACAUCUGCCACACUUUCUUCCUUAUCAACAGUCAAAGCAAAUAGAAACGGGAAGGACGAACACAAAGGAGAAUCCCCACACCACUUAUCCCUCCAAAACCUCACCCUCCUCCCAUUACCAACAAUGAAGACCAACCUAUUGCUCACUAAUUCCCAAUCCAUCCUUAUCCCUUUCCACAACCCCAAGCCAUGAGCCUCUCUCACUUCCAGAGAGGACCAACCCCCUCUCUCUUCUCCAUAUUUCCCUCUAAUCACUUGAUUCCAUAAAGCCUCUCUCUCAUUAGCAAAACGCCAAUUCCACUUAGCAAGAAGACCUUGUUGAGAAUAGAUAGGUUUUUUACCCCUAAGCCCCCUUUCUUCUUACUUAAGCACACUACCUCCCAUCUUACUAGAUGAGGCUUUCGCUCCAAAUUACCCCCACCCCAAAGGAAGUCUCUUUGAAUCUUUUCUAAUCUCCGUCUGACUACAUUCGGUAAGUUGUAACCCAAUUAAUGUUCUCUCAUAGCAAAUUUUCUCCCAUAGAUACUUGUUGAACUCCUUUAAACUAUCAACAAGUUGAAUCCAUUGUAAAUUUAUCAAAUUCUUUCCCUUAUUUCCUAGUAGAACAUACUCAACAAAGUAUAACAAUGUUAAUUUUACAAUGUCUUCAUCAAGAUUUGAUUUAUCACUUUAACUUUGCCUUCGGAUGGACUCGGCUAGUAAACCAGUCCAGAUCCCACGCACUUAACAAGUCGUUAAACUUGUCAUACACAUAUCGUACUGUGGGAGGCCACAAGGUACCCUGCGGGCAUGACUCUACAAUGUCUUCAUCAAGAUUUGAUUUAUCACUUUAACUUUGCCUUCUUUUUUUGUCCUCUUUAUGUUUAUUUUCUUUCCUUUAUCACAUAAUAAGGUGAAAACCUUCUCUAUUCAAUCACUACGAAUCUUAUUUUCCUCAUUAAAGUACUUAUCCCUUAUUCUUAAUAAUGUUAAGUCAAAUUGUGAAAUAUUAUCAAAUCGAUCACUACAAAUGCAUAAACUUUCUUAAUCCUUUUAGAGACUAAAUCAACAAAGAGACAAAAAUCUGAAAAACAAACCAUUUGAGACUAACAAAGCAUACCUUUGAGGAUAUUCUCUAUUCUUUUCCAUUUUAUUAUGUUCUCUUCCUCUCCCGUGUUUUUUCAUAAACUAGACAAAAAAAAAACACACCUUAAUCAAAUGAAUGAAUUUUUUUAAUCCUUUUAAAGAGAGAAUCAACAAAAAUAUGAAAAUCAGAAAAAUAAAUAAAUAAUGUAUUUCAAAAAAACAAAGCAUACUUUGAGGAUGUCUUUCAAGAGAGAAGCUUCCUUUCUAGUUUUGAAUUUGAAAGGUUUUUCUUUUAAUUUUUAUUAGGGGUAAUUUAAUCUUUAAAAAAAAAAGAGUCAUGAGGUUAUUUUUUCCUCCUACCAACUUAUUUUGCCCCUUUUAACCAAAUAUUCCUUUCUUUUAAUAACAAAAACAGUAUAACACUUGGAUUAAGGACUUUUUCCUUUUCCUCCUACAUUUUGUCAGCGACCAAACAGAGAAAAACAAAAUUGGACCGACCCAGAAGCUCAAAAAGAGUAAAAACGGGAUAACCCACAACAUCUUAUUUACUAUCCCGCCUUGCAGCAACUAUUUGGCUUUAGCCAGUAAAGUUUCUCAUUGAUUAAAACUCUGUUUCUCCCUUUUUCUCAGCAAUCAUAGAGACCAUAAGCGAAAUUGCACAUACCCAGAAACCAAAAAAAGGGACUAAGCAAAAACAGGAAAAAUCCACCAAAACCUUGAGAGAGGUGAAGCUUCAUAUCUUUCUUUUCCCGACGUUUUCUCAUCAACCAAUAAGUCACAACAAAAUUGCAGCGCAAAUCCAAAAGCCAAAAAGAAGGACAAAAAUCACAAGAAGAAGAACCCACAAACCUUGAGAGCAGACUCAUAUCUAUUCUCUCUUAUCGCCUCAUCCAAAGCCUCCAAAACCGCUUUGGGCCACAAAGUACUGUACUUUCUUGAAUUUGCUUUUCUCUCAAUGCCACUAAUUGCCGCCUCUGUCCUCAAAAUCCGAGAAAGAUCCUUCUUAGGUUGUCUCUGAAGCCCGUUUUGGGAACUUCCGGAACUCCGUUUCCCUGCUCUGACAAAUAAAAAUGGUGGAUUUGAGGUGGGCUUGGUCUCUUUGAGAACUUUUAACGAACAGGUGGUGUAGGUUAAGGGGAUGGAUGAUGACCAGCGCAGGCUAGUGGGGUCAAGGAGAUGAGGCUCCAUUGCGCAGGGUUUGGAGAGUGUGGUUCAGAGGGAGAAGUGGUGGUGAUCAGAGGACGACGAUGAGCGGUGCAGCUUAGGGGCGGCAAGGCACCGGUGCUUCAUUGUGCUGGUCGCGGAGGAUACUGGAUAUUGUAAGGAGAUGAAUGGUUACAGACGAGAUAUGGGUCGAGCCUUUAUGACCAAUUCUGUGGCCCAAUUACAAUUAAGCCUGAUGGGCCGAAGGGCAAAUGACAAUCUCAUGUGAGAAAGGCCUGUUGAGAAUGUCACAUAUAUACCUUUUAAACAUUUUAAUGAUUUUAUAUUUCUAUUACUAACAUCUUAAAUUUCUUUUGAAAUAAAUCUUGUAAAAGAAAUUGAUUAACCUUUAAAAUUUUUAUAUUGUAAAAUUCCUUUGAAAUAAAGUUAUAAAAAAAUUUAUCUACCUUCAAAAUUUUCAUAAAUUCUUAAUAUAGAACUUGUAAAGAAUCUUUCAUAACUAAACUCUUAGGACUCUUUAUGGGGAUUCAAACCUCGAGGUGUGGACCACCUCGCAAUGAUCAAUAUUGGGUAAAUUCAAGGUAUUAUCAGUGAUAUAUUAAUUAUAUGUUAUUAUUGAUAUAUAAUUGGUAUAUAUGAAAAGAAUUAACUCGCUUGCAUCAAAUUGCUAAAUUAUGCUCUCUUUGGGUUUUGCAAAUUGUUAUGAUGUGCCUUUAUUUGAUUUUUUUAAUAUUAUCUAAGUUGUUAUAAAAACACCCAUUUGAAUUGAUUUAUGAUAGUUUUAAGAAGUAAAAAGAAAAUUAAGACAUUAUCAUAUUUAUUUUAAUACCAAAUACAAAUCUUUAAUAAUUGGUAUGUCUUGAAAACAAAAAUUAAAAAUGAUAAAAUGUGAUAAUUUUAAAAUAAAUUGUUGAGUUUCUUAUUCCCAAUCAUGUGUUAACACAACUUUUCUUGAUUGAUGAAGAGAAUUUUUAAGAUAUGUAAAGAUUAUUUAUUCUUUCUACCAUUAUUAUUAAAUUGGAAUCACGAUGUUGCAACUUCGAAUUGUCUCAUGAGUUGGGGGAAGUCAAAUGAUUCGUACUUGAUUUCAACUUGGGUUACUAUUAAACUCUACGAUACCAACAUUACUAACUCUCAUAUUAAACUUGUUGUACCCCAUGGUUAAGAUGGACAUGAGUCGAUUUAUAUGCAUCAGUAUUUGUUGAAACUUUGAACUAUGUGACAACAUGUUAUAAUGUAUUUUUAUGUCUAGAAAUCCAAAAUGUUGACAUUAGUUAUCUUCGCGAUCACUUUUACUACUCCAUGACUUCUACUGUUAUUCAACAUUUUUUUAUCUUAAUUAUUGUUUAUAAAGAUAAAUAUGUCAAUUUGUUAAUUUAAAAUCAAUUUUAAGUUAAAUGUAUUAAACAAUCUUUAUAUUUAAAGUAUUAAGUAAUAAAUUUUAAGUCAAUAAUUUAAAUAUAAUUUAACUUAAAGCUAACUUAAGUCAUUAAAUAAUAAAUAUUAAGUUUUGCCGAACACCUUCUUCAUGUAAUGUUUGUUUGUUUUUUUUUUUACUUGAUUUUACUUAUUUUAUUUUCCCUUAUUUUCAUUUUUUUUAUUUUGACUUUUGAUAAUGUCUUAUUUUGAUUUCAUUUUUUUCACUUGCAUUUAUUUUUUAUCUAUAUUUUAUCUUUCAUUUUAAACAUUCAUUUUCUCUAUUUUUAGUCUUUUAUUUUCAAACCCAUUUCUUUUAUUAUUAUUGUUGUUGUUGCUGUUCAUUUUGCUAGUGCUAAAAGGUGAAAAUAAUUCUAGUGAUUAAUGUGAAUUUGAGAUCAUUUGCUAUGUUUGGUCACAAGAAAGUUUGAGGGAAAAUGUGAGAAAAACAAAAUAGAAAAGAAAAGUAGAAGAAAAGAAAAAAACUAAAAAAAGAGAGUGAAUAAAGUUAAGAAGAGAAGUAGGUUGCAUGUGGCCUUAUUUGAUAACUGUUUUUAAAAACAGUUCUAAAAAAUAGGAUCGAAAAAUAAUUUUUUAGAACAGUUUUUAAAAACUAUUAUUUGAUAUUAUAUAAAAUAAAAAUUUGUCUGUGAACUUAAAAAGUUUUUAAUCUAUUUUUAAUAUUUUAAAAAUAAUUUUUACACCUAGAGCUUUAUUUUUAAUCAUUAUACAUUAAAUUGUAAAAUUAUUUUUUAAAAUAAUUUAAAAAAACAAGUAAAAAUAAUUAAAAAAAUAUUCUCUAAAAAUGUCAUAUUUUUUAUUUUUGAUAACAGAAAAUAAAAAAUAAUUUUCUGAUUACUAAAUAUUUUUUAGUUUUUUUUUUUAAAACAGUUGUCAAACAUUCACAUAACUUUGACUAUUCCCCUUUUGUUGAACAAGAGUGGCAGAAUUUCAGGGAGGGAAUGGAGAGCAAUUAUUUAUUUAUUUUUAAAAAAGGAUUGAAAGCAAGGAAAAGACUAAGCAUUUGAAAAGUAAGAGAAAAUACAGAGGAAAGGUGGCAAAAAUUGGGUAUGAGAGGGCACAAAUGGUAAAUAAGGUCAUUGUCCCUUUGUACAUCUUUAUUCUAUAAUGAUAAUGAGAAGGUGAUAGACUCGCAUAUACCCAAAUAAAUCCAUAUAUGUACGUCUUUAUUCUAUAUUCUCUCUGAUCUAAAAUAAUAUCAUGUCACAUCCAAGUGUGAACACUCAUAAAAGUAAGAAUGGUCGUGCCAACUAACAUUCACAUGGGUCUCUCUUUUUCUAGCCCUUUGAACAUUUUUUUUAAUGUAUCCAUCCUUGUUUCUCUCUUUAGACCUUUGGACUUUUCUAAAGUGAUCCCCCCUAUGAUUUAUGGUAUGAAAAGACUAUUCUUACUUUUAUGGGUGCUCACAUAAAUUUAUUGAAAAAAUAGGAAAAAGAUGUACAUUUAUAAUAUAAACCAUGGGGAGACCAAUCCUUCUAGUUUAACUCUCCUAGUUAAGAUUUUGUUUCAAAGUAAUUUUGACUUAAAAAAAUGUUUUGAAAAAAAUGAGAUAUUUUGACAAAUUUUAGAAAACACUUUUUAGAAUCCCUUUUAAGGUUGGAAAAUUACUUAUAAUAUUUUAUAGAGGAACACUAUUCUUUUAAAAAUAUUUUUAAAAAAAAUACUUUUAUUAAAAAUAUUAUGAGUAGAAACACUGUUAAAAACUUAAAUGUAUUCGAAGAGUGCGUUUAACAGUGAUUUUAGAAAGUAUUUCUAAUUUUUUUAACAUUUAAAUUUUUUUAUCUUUCAAGUAUAAAAAAGACUAAAAACACUUCAUAGAAUCACUAUUAAACGUACUCUAAGUGUUUUAAUAGUGAUUUAAAAAAAUAUUUCUAUCAUUUUUAGUUCUUGAAAAUUAAAAAAAUUUCAAAUAUUAAAAAUGGUAGAAAUACUUUUUAAAAUCACACAAAUUUUCAAAUAUUAGAAAUGAUAGAAACACUUUCUAAAAUUACUGUCAAACAUAUUUUAAGAGUUCAUUAGAUAAUGAUUUUAAAAAGUAAAGUGACAAAAUUAGGUAUUUGACAAAAUUUAGAAAAUGCUUUUAAAAUUUUGAAAAAUCACUUAUUGAAUUGAAAAAUCACUUAUAAUGUUUUUUUAAGAAACAUUUGAUAGGUAAUUCUUUAAAAAAUAUUAUUAGAGAAAACAUUUUUACGAAAGAUAUUUGAAGUAAAAACAACCCACUUUUAAUGUAAAAAGUGUUUCUCAAAAAACUAAAAUAAAUAUUUGAUAAAUUUUAAGAAAUAUUUUUAAAAUACAAAAAAAUUACCAUGAUAGUAAAAAAUCAUUUAUAAUAUGUUUUAAAUAAACACCCAAUCGAAUGAUUCUCUUCAAAGCACUUUAAAAAAACACUUUCAUUAAUAACAAUUUGAGUAAAAUCUGCUGUCUACACACUGUCAUUCUCUUCCUAAAACCAUCUUAGGCAUGGGCCUCAAUACCCAUAAAUGUGAAAGCGUGUGGCUAUCAGUCUCUCUUCAUUUUUUUUUCAUUUAUAUCAUUGACAAAGACUUUGACUCAAAAUCAUUUCCUCUUCCCCACCCCCCAAUCUCAAUGUAUCUCCAUUAUAACCUUUUAGUUUCUGAUUUCAUCUCUUGCUAGAGUUCCCCCUCAAUUUUCCAUCCUCUGCAACAUUUUUCUUUGCUCUUUCAAAGAUGGCUGAACAAAUUCCAUUCACCAUUGCUGAGAACCUUUUGAUGAAGCUGGGAUCUGCCGCUUUCCAAGAAAUUGGAUUCAUGUAUGGUAUCAGAAAAGAGCUAAGCAAGCUUGAGGAUACGCUGUCUACCAUCAAAGCUGUGCUUCUUGAUGCUGGGGAGCCGCAGGAGAGGAAUCGUGCAGUAUCAACUUGGGUACGAAGGCUUAAAGAAGUUGUCAACGAUGCUGAUCAGUAGUUGGAUGACUUCGCAGCCGAAGACUUGCGGAGAAAGACCCAUACGCAGGGGAGAUUUGUAGGACAAGUGAGUGACUUCUUCUCCUCUUCUAAUCAUAUUGCUUUUCGAGUCAAGAUGGGUCAUAGAAUGAAGGAUAUUAGAGAAAGGCUAGAUGAGAUUGCAAAAGAUAUUUCCAUGUUCAAGUUUGUUCCAAGAGUGGUGCAGGUAGAGAAUAGGAUGAAAUCAGAAACCCACUCUUUUGUGGUGGCAUCUGAAAUUGUGGGAAGAGAGAAAGACAAAGAGAAGAUGAUAGGAUUGUUGAUGCAAGAACAUCUUUCAAUGGUUGCAAUUGUUGGUAUUGGGGGCCUAGGCAAGACCACCCUUGCUCAAUUGGUAUACAAUGAUGAUGAGAAGGUGGGGAAACAUUUUGAUAUUAAGAUGUGGGUGUGUGUUUCCAAUGGUUUUGAGGUAAAAGCAGUGGUUAAGAACAUUGUAAAAGCUACAACUAAUACAAAUGUGAACAACUUAGAGUUGGAUCAAUUGCAGAAGCUCCUUCGUAAAAGUCUAGAUGGGAAGAGGUAUUUGCUUGUGUUAGAUGACGUAUCGAACGAGGAUCCAGAGAAAUGGGAUCAAUUGAGGCUUUUGUUGACUAUUGGUGCCCAUGGGAGUAAAAUCUUAGUGACGACUCGAAGCGCUAGAGUUGCUUCAGUCAUGGGAAUUAAUUCUCCAUACAAUUUGGAACCUUUGGGAGAGGAGUCGUCUUGGGAUUUGUUUCGAAGUCUUGCCUUCAAAGGAGGGGAAGAGAAAGCGCGCCCCAAUCUUGUGAAAAUAGGAAAAGAAAUUGUGAAGUCGUGUAACGGAGUUCCUCAAGUCAUUAGGCACGUAGCUCGGAUGCUGCACUCUAAAACCGAGGAGAGUCAAUGGUUGUAUGUGAAAAAUAGUAAAAAUGUCAUGUCUAUGGAUGCUUGAUUUGUGAGAUUUCAGUUUUCUAUAUUCAAUGAUCAUACAGGAUUGUAUGUUGAAUCACAUGAAGAAAUUAUAUCAUAAUUACUAUUUAAAAUUGUACCAACCUGAUUCCAUUUGUGUGUUUGAUGAAGACGGUAUGAAUCUUCUAAGACUGAUGGAGGGCACCACCUCUGGAUUCUCUCAGGCAAUGGGAGCGGGAGAGAAAGCGGUUAAGAUCUUUUCAAAAGAUGUGAUUAUCCCAAAAGACACAAGCCAAAAUCCUUUUAUACCCUCCUGCCUUAGGGACCAUACCCAUUGGUUAUUGGGCCUCACGGGCCUUAGGCCCAUCAUCUAAAGCCCGUGAUGGCAUUGGGCUCUACACAUUAGGUGGUCCAUACUCAAGAUUAAAUCAGAAAUUGCAUGUUAAAAGAUAGCUUAAUCCUGGACAAUGUUUAAUAUAUUGUCAGUCCACAUUUAUUCUAUCAUGAUUUUGUUUCAUUAAGUAUGAUGAAUGCUUGCUUGUGCUGCUUGUAUUUUUUAUUUUUUAUUUUAUUUUUACAAUUUAUAGUUCCAUUUUGAAUAAUUAAAUAAAAGGGUUGUUUAGAAAUAAUGUUUUUGGGUCUGUUUUGAGAUAUGUAAAUAUUUGCAUAUCAAUAAUUUAUCAAGAAUAUAUGAAUUUAUACAAAUCAUCUAUAUGACAUAUAUGCAAAAGUACCCUUUAAAAAAACAGAAAACCAAUUCAAGGUACCUUCAAAAGGGUAAAUAGCCCUCUUUUUAUGACUCACAAACUCUUUGAAAAAGAUUUGAGGAAAAAAAAAAAUGACAUCAACUGAAAAGUUACCAAUCACUUUUACGAAGUAGAAAGAGUUGAGAAAAUAUAACUUUGUUUUACAAUUGUUUUUAAGAAUGCUUUUAUAUUCUCUAAAACAAAAAAGAAGUUUUUGAUAAUUAAAAAGUUGUUUUCUUUUUUUCUAUUCUUAAAAUUAGAUAAUAUAUUUUUUAGGAAAUAUUUUUUAGUUGUUUUAAAUUGUUUUCACUUGUUUUUUAUGAUUUGUUUUAAAAAUAAUGGGAAAAACAAGCUUUGAUUCACUAAUUUGAAAAAAUAUGAAAAAAAUGACUUCAACUUUAAUAAAUCAGUUUCGUCUUUAUUCAUUUAAAAAUAUUUUUAAAUAUAUGUAUUUUUUAUAACUCAAAUUAUUAUUUUCUGAAAUACUCUUUUACUUGAUAAUAUUAAAUAAAAUUAUUUAAAAUUAAUUUAUCAUUUUAAUUUGAUAAAAGUAUUUUAAAAAUAAAUAUAUUAUAAUUUUUUUAUUGUAUAACAUAAGAUAUAAAUUAUUGUGGAAAAAUCAUAUAGGAUUCUUAAGUAAUAAAUAAAAUCUUUGUAAUCCCUUAAUCAUUUUAUAUCGUGAAUUAUGUAAAUCCCAUCAUUUUCUCAUUUAUCUAAUAAAAUUAAAUACAAAUUUUGUUAGUUGACAUCAACAAUAAAAUAAAAAAUUUUAAAAAUUAAAAAUACAAUUAAAACUAAAAUACAUAAAGAUUAAAUACAAUUUAAAACAAUAAAAACUAAAAAAUUAAAAUUAAAAUAUUUACUCCCAUUGUAUUUUUAACUAUUUCUUGAUAUUUAUAUUUUCUAUUAGAAUGUUUUAAUUAAGUGAAAGUUAAUAUUUUAUUUUUAUAUUUUUAGCUUUAAAGUCUUUUUUGUUUUAAUUGUAUUUUUAAUUUUCUUAAUUUUUUAUUUUAUUAAUCUCAAAUCAAUUCUCACUUUAUAUUAAUUUGUAUUAUUAAAAUAUAAAAGGGUUAAUUUAGGAAAUAAUUAUUUGAGUUAUAAAAAAGUGUACAUAUUUUAAAAUAUUUUAAAUGAGUGAAGAUAAAUUUGAUUUAUAAAAGCUUGAAUUCUUUUUUCUAUAUAUAUAUAUAUUUUUUUUUUUAAAUUAGCAAGUAAAAACCCACUUUUUCUAAAAAUAAUAAUAUAAACACGUAGAAUAAAACACUACACAUAAAAAUUAUUUUUAAAAAUAAUAAAAAUAUGUUAAAGAUAAUUUAGGUCUUUAAACAAACCUUUUCUUUACAAAAUAUAAAAAGAAUAAUUUUUUAAAACUGCUAUUUAAAACUAUUUUUGAUUCAAAAACAUACAAUUUCUAAACAUAGCCUAUGUUUUUGUCUUCUUUUCUUUUUAUCACCUUGUUCUUUACUUUGUUUUCUUAUACUCUGCACAAGGCUCUUUAGUUUCCUCCACAACACUCCUACCAACUGCCACCACCUUCUUUGACAGGCCAUACAUAGCUUAAUGUUUUAAAAAAUGAAGAUAAAAAGGAAAUCAUUAAUUGGAUGUCAACCUAAUGCAAGCAUUAUAUUUAAAUUGAAUUGUUUUGUAGUUGGUCAGUGUAGACCCCUUUUAAUAGGCCACCCGGGAGAAGUAAAAUUUUCGUUUUUUUUAAGGGUGGGGGACGACUACCAAUGGCACAUGAAGACGCAUGGCGAAGCGCGUCACCAACUCACCAUGGUGGUGGUUGGGAUGGCGACCUGGCUGAGCGGUGAAUAAGGGAGCAGAUAAUGGCUUGGUUGGGAAGAAAACCGGAUGGGGGGGCCAGGUCUAGAGGGUAAAGAACAAAAAAAUGAGUUUUGGGUGGAGAUACUGGAGGAUGCUAGGUUGGUUGGGGGAGUCUAGGGUUCUAGGGAAAAGGAAUUCUCUGGCCAGGCGAGAGCUGUGAAGGAGCUCUCAGGUAAGUUUACAGGGUAUCUCUCGUUCAUAUUCACUAUCACAGUUCUUUCAUUUUUUCCUCUUGCUAUUUGGGGUUCCGUUUGUUUGUUUGGAUAUGGAUAAUAGGAGAUAUGCAUGAGUUUUGUUGAUUUCCGGCUCGUUUAUAUGCCCAUUGAUCGUUUCAUUCACUGUCCUUCUUAGCAUUGGUUUAAACCUAGUAAAGUUAUGUUUCAUUUUGCUCUAUGUGAAGAUAUUGUUUGCUAUUUUCUCGUUUGGACCCGUCGGUACCCUUCCCACCAAUCCAAGCCCGUUGAAAGAGCAUUAGAUAUGGUUUCUCUUGAUUCAUAUGUAUAUUUUCUUGUUUACUUUUCCUAUUUUGUUUUCACGUUUUUACUCUCCUCCAUCCCUCCACCCCUCCACCCUCUAAUCCACCACGCCCAUCUUUCACCCACAUACCAACCCACUUCUGCCACCACCCAACCCGACAUCAUACUUCUACAUAUCCUUCAUUCAUGACUCCAUCCCACCAUGCAUGGAAGUACCAACCCUAUUACAAUCCGUUUCUAUGCCUCAUUCAUACCCAUUUCCUAUCCACAUGCAUGAAACCAUGUAUGGAACUAUGCAUAUCAACGCCCUUCUAUGCCCACCUUACCCAUUCUUUCUUACCACCUUUCUCUCUCUACACCACGUUCUUCAUGCCCACUUUCUAUCCAGAUGCAUGAAACCAUCCAUGGAACCAUGCAUAUCACCACCCUUCCGUGCCCACCUUACCCAUUCUUUCUUACCACCUUUCUCUCUACACCACGUUCAUAAUGCCCACUUUCUAUCCACAUGCAUGAAACCAUGCAUAUCACCACCCUCCUAUGCCCAUCUUACCCAUUCUUUCUUACCACAUUUCUCUCUCUACACCACGUUCUUCAUGCCCACAUCCUAUCCACAUGCAUGAAACCAUGCAUAUCACCACCCUCCUAUACCCACCUUACCCAUCCUUUCUUACCACCUUUCUCUCUCUACACCACGUUCUUCAUGCCCACUUCCUACCCACAUACAUGAAACCAUGCAUGGAACCAUGCAUAUCACCACCCUCCCAUGCCCACCUUACCCAUUCUUUCAUUAACCUAUCUCUCAUUCCGCACCUCCAUUUUUCAUGCCUUUCGGGAACCAUACCACCAUACCCAUAUCAACACCCACUAACCCAUUCCCUUAUCAUAUUAUCGAUACCCUUUUCUCUUACUUAUCACCUUUCUCAUUUUCCAAACCUCCAUCACUCGCUCCACUAGUCUCAUACCCAUUUUUCCUCACCACCGUGGCAACCUCCAUCCACACUGCCCUACUUUCUUGUCCUUUAUCUUAGAGAGAAUUUUGGUAAGUUACUCAUUUUAAUUUCUACAGUGGGUGUAUUUUUUAUGUUUGUGGGUCUUGCAUAUUGGCUUUGAGCCCUUGGGCCUGGGUGCAAUUAGGCAUGGUUUGAGUUGAUUAUUAUAAAGCAAGUUGUGGGCUGUGAGACCCUUGGGACCGUUUAGGCUUGGGUCAUUAGCCCAUUUGUUUGUUUUCAAUUUACAUAAUUUACCUUUUUAAAAGCCCUAAUUUCUCAAUAAAUUUUCUAAAUUUAAAUUCCAAUUUCCAAAAUUUUAAUUUUCACAUCAAUUUAUUUAAUCAUUAUCACUUUAUUCAUUUGCUUAUUUGUUUAUUUUUAAAAUUCAAUCUUUAAAAAAUCCUUCAAAAUUCCGAUUUCUAAAUUUAAAUUUAAAUUUCCGAAAUUUUAAUUUUCAUAUCAAUUUAUUUAAUCAUUAUCAUUUUAUUCAUUUAUUUAUUUGUUUAUUUUUAAAAUUCAAUCUUUAAAUAACUCUUCGAAAUUCUGAUUUCUAAAUUUAAAUUCCAAUUUCUGAAAUUUUAAUUUUCACAUCAAUUUAUUUAAUCCUUAUUAUUUUAUUUAUUUAUUUAUUUGUUCAUUUUUAAAAUUCAAUCUUUAAAUAACUCUUCAAAAUUCUGAUUUCUAAAUUUAAAUUCCAAUUUUCGAAAUUCCAAUCUUUAUAUCAAUUUAUUUAAUCAUUAUCAUUUUAUUCAUUUAUUUAUUUGUUUAUUUUUAAAAUUAAAUUUUUAAAUAACUCUUCAAAAUUCCGAUUUUUGAAUUUAAAUUCCAAUUUCCGAAUUUCUAAUUUUCACAUCAAUUUAUUUAAUCAUUAUUAUUUUAUUUAUUUGUUUAUUUUUUAAAUUCAAUCUUUAAAUAAUUCUUUAGAAUUCCAAUUUUUGAACUUAACUUCCAAAAUUCCCUUUCUUAAAUUCAAUUCCCAAGACUCCAAUUUCCAAAUAAUUUUCGAGACUCCGAUUUUCAAAUAAAUUUCAAAAAUCCAGUUUUCACUCGAACAGUUUUAAUUCCAUCAUGAUUCUCAAAUAAUAUGUUGUUCCUCUUGAUUUUACAUAAGCAUGAAUGUCAUUUUUCAUAAUUCCAUAAUAAUAGAAUUUGUGAUAUUAAUUCGUGCAAGAUAGAUCGGGCUUUGGUGGGGGCCCCACAUACGUGAUUUUAUGAUUGAUUGAUUUGAUUGUCAUGCGUAAUUGAUUUAUUCUGUUCCAUAAUAUGCACAUAAUCAUCCUAUGUUUGUUCACUAACCAUUUGUUUUCCUUGAAGUAAAUCAGUUCAUCACUCAGGUACAUUAUUUGCGUCUCUCAUUCAUUCAAUUAUUUUGUUUUGAGUGGUAUUCAUUUGGUAUCUAUGCUCGAUUAAUCAAUUGUCAUGUUUGCUUCAUUUUAUUAGUAGAGAUCCAUUUUAGUAGACUUAGAGGGGUGCUAUAGUCUUUACCGUACCUUCCCGAUAAGUAACCUGACCCCGAACCCGAUUCGGUUUUUCGCAGACCACCUUUUCCAAAUAAGGAGUCACACUUAGGGUUUUCUUUCUUAUUUUGUUUACCCUUUAAAAAUAAAAUAAAAAUAAAUGGCGGCUCCAAGUUUUUUUUUUUUUUCAAAAAAAUCAAAUUUCCAUCAAAUAAAACAAAAAGCGAGUUUCGCCAUCGAGGGAAAGGGCAUGAGCCGAAAUGCGGGGUCCACGUUCAGAUUUCCACAUCUUUCCCAAAUGUUGUUGAAGUAUUGGUUUGACAAGUGCUAUUUUCUUCUAGAAAAUAAGUGAACAUAUAUAUUAUUAUCACUUCAAAUAAAGUCUAUGGGAAUUAUGGCUUCUUACUUCAAUGUUAAUCUGGAUAGACAACUCAUAUUUUUAGUCAUUACCAUAAUUGUUGCAAUCAUGCCAUUAAUAUAUUUGUGACUAGUGUAUUUAAAUACCACAUCCACAAUCAUAGCUGUAAUUGCUCCAUGUAUCAAGCCAUUACAUGUGUUUAUAUACCCAUGUAAAUUAUGAAUGAAAGCAAGAGUUUUUCUGUUGUUUUAAAUCUAUCAACUCAAAGCUUUACUUAGAGUUAGGGAUGAAGUUAUGUGAGUUCACCCGAUCUAAUUUGAACCCAAUCCGAUAUUUGAGGGAAUUUAAACAAUCAUUUUUAAUAAUUGGGUUGGGUUGAGUUAGGUUUUUUUCAACCUGAACUUAAUUUGGGUUGGCCUUGGAUUAAAGUUUAGACAACUAGAGUUUAACUCGAAUCCGAUUUAAUGUUUUUAUAAUAUUUAUAACGCAUUUUAUUCUAUGUAAUAAUAUAAGUUUUCUGUUUCUAUUUUUAUGAAAAAUAUCAAAUUAUAUUAUAUACUAUGUUUUUCAUUAUUUUUAGAAAAUAUAUAAAUUUAUGUUUAUUCUUUUAUUGCUAUCUUGAAAUUUUGUCCUAUUUGUUAUUAAAAUUUUCAUAUAAAUACAUUAAAAUAAUAUUAUACAUAGAUUUUGAAUUAUGCAACAUGACCAAUUCAUGUAGCUCGAUCAAUCUGAAUUUAACUUAAACAACUCAAACUCAAUCCAAGUUUAGAAAAAUUAGAUUGGAUUGAACUUGAGUUUAGUACAUUGGGUUAGAGUUCAAGUUGGGUUGAGUUUAGAUUGAUUAUUUCUUAAUUCAAGUUAGGUUUAGGUUAGUCAUCAACUCGAUCAAUUCACCCAAUUUACAACCCUAGAUAGAGUACCAACUUUCGAAUCAUACUUUAAUAAACCCAAAAGCCUAACUAAGAGAUAAAAAAAGCUACCUAAAAGCAAAUCAACACAUGAAAUCAACUUGAAUUUUUAUUGAAAAAACAAUAUCAGUAAUACAUUUAGGCUAUGUUUGAUUCUCAAAAAAUGAAGGAAAAUAAAAAAUAGGAUUAAAGUCAAUAAGUUAUUUUUAUAUGCUAACUUCUUCAAACUCAUUUAACUUAUUUCUCUCUAUUAUAUGAAGAUUAAAUAAUUUUUAAAUAUAUAAAUUUCUAAUGAAUUGUAAUUAUAAUUGAGCUAGGAGCAAGGAUUGAAAUAUCGGUUUUUACGGAUAUAUCGGUACUUCGAUUUUACGGAUAUAUCGGAUAUCGGAAAAAUAUCGGUGGAUAUUUUUUCACAAAUAUCGAUAAAGUGAAAAUUAUUUAAAAUUAAUAGAAAUGCUUGAAAAAACUUUAAAAAAUGAUAAAAUAAGUAAAAAUACACAUUUUAAAGUUAUCUUGUAAGUGUAAUUGACAUAUAUAUAAUUAAGAAAAUAUUUUAAACAAAGAUAUAUUGGUAGAUUCGAUAUUUGAAUUUUAAAAAUAAUAUAUAUGAAUUUUGAAAGUAUAUAGAGUUAGAAUUGAAUUAAAAAAUAUUUGAUUUUAUUGAAUAAAAACAAUUUAUACAUAAAUAUAAUACAUAUGAUAUUACAAUAGUCCUUAUACUAAGGAAGAGAUCGAUGUGAUUUCAUUAUAUUGUUAGAUGAAGAUGACCCAAUUUGCUGAAGAUAAUGUUUAUUUAAAAAAUUUUAAAAUAUUUUUAUUAAAACAUGUUUUAUUAUAUUUUAAAUGAAAAUUAAAUUAAUUUAUAUAAAUAUUUUAUUUGAGAUUUAAUUUUUAAAAUUUUAUUAAAAACAUAUAGUAACAACUUUUUUUUAUUAAUAUUAAUUUAUUUAAUAAUCAAAAUAAAAUUCAAUAAUUUAUAAUUAUUUAUAUGGGUAGAGGAAAAUUGCUCUCAUGAUUUGUUUUUUUUUUUUUUUUUUACCUCUACUAAAUCUAAAAAUUAAAAGGGCCACCCACUUCUGAAGUUGCCCUCCAGCCGAGAGAAUUCCCAUUUCCCCUUUUCUGAAGCUGCCCUCCAGCCGCUGAAGCUGCCCUCCAGCCAAGAGAGUUCCUCUUCCUAAAAAGACCUAUCUUCCUCUACCACUCUCAAUCCUCGCAGGUACUAAUCUAAUCACGUUGAUAUUAUUUUUUUUGCAACCCCCGUUUGAUUCCCAAGAAAAUCCAUCCCCUAUUUGAUUUCCGGGAAAAUUCAUUCUCGUUUGAUUUCCGAGAAAAUCCAGUCAAAACCCCCAAAGAAAACCAAAAAAUUUGCUUUUCUUUUGCUCCCUGUGUUUUCUGGAUCUGUUUUAAGGGUCUCUUUGUUGUUGUGCCAUUGGAUUUAAAUUUCACGAACCCUAAAUCCACGAUUUUUGAGCCAGAUUUUGUAUCCUGUGCGCGGGCUGGACUGGUAGGAAAAUAUCGGGAAAUUUUCCGAUAAAUCAGUAUUUCGCCGAUAUAUCGGCGAUUUUGCCGAUUUUUUGUCGAUUUUUCCGUCGAUCGAUAAUCGGUGACAAUUAUCGUUUCGGCGCCGUCCGAUAUCCGAUAUUUCUUCGAAAUAUCGGCGACAUUUUCCUAUUUUUCAAUCCCUGGCUAGGAGAGAUUUACAUUUGAAAAGGUACCAACAUCUUUAGCCUAUCUGAGUCAUCUAAGAUAUGUCCAUCUUUCUUAUAAAAUAAAUAUGAGGUACUUCUUAAUGCAAUUACAAAGCUAAAGCAUUUAUAGAUGUAGGGACCCCUCCCAUUGGGAAACACGUGGCACGCAGCUCAUGGUGACGCAUGACACGUGUUAUCAGCCGGACCAUCAUCAUCCAGAUUCCCCUAAGGAUAUGCAUGGUGCAGUUAUCCUAUCCGGACCGCCUCAAGGAAAGGCAAACGACGUUUCAGCUUCUCCUAUCCAAGGAAGAGCAAAUGACGCUGGCAGAGUGUAGACAUCCGGAUAGUCUCCACAACACAUCCGGAUAAUCAGCAUGAGCCAUCCGGAUAUAAAUCGUCUGGGUGGUCAAUUAAAGUAAAGCAAGUCUUACACGCAAUCACAACAAGCAGCCAUGGCCCACAUCUUGUCACCUGCAGAGUGAGAAGACAAGAUGAAGUGACAGCAAGUCACUUCCCACGAUCAUUCUACAUGAUCACCUACCACGAUCUCUGACAGUCGCGUCACCUACCAUGGUUCCUGACAGCCGCUCGUAGGGUGAUGAUGUCUCUGCUGCGACUUAAUGUCAUCAUGACAACAUAAAACAUCUCCUCACCAUUAAUGAGAGGAACAAUACCCUUAAAGCUGUAUAUAUAAGUCUUCACACGAAGAAGAACUCUCUCUCUCUCUCUCUCUCUCGGGGUAACCUCCUAAUACCUAGUAAAAGGCCAACUGCCUCAUAUAUCUUCCUCUCUCACCAUGGCUAACAAAAUCAUCGGAGGGUGCGUCUGGACACCCUGUCCGGAUGCCUUUUGCAGGUACAACCGCUGAAUCAAGAACCCUUUGUGUGUUGAGAAUCGUGUGUCCAUCCAUCUCGCAGCAACGUGGACCACCAGAUACGCGAGGUGACAACAAUAGACAUUGAAACUUUUUCAAUGUUUGUAUCUUAAAGAAUUGCCAAAAAAUAUAAACAAUUGGAUAAACCGGAGGCAUCUUGAGAUUGAUGGGAAUAGUGGAUUGACUUUUAUGCCAUGUGGGUUAGGAGAAUUGACUAUGCUUCAGACUCUACCAUUGUUCUUUGUUGGGAAUAACAGCAGGAAUUCUAGCGAUGAGAGAAUUGGUCGGUUGAAUGAAUUGAAAUGCAUUAACAGUCUCAGAGGAGAAUUGGCAAUUGCACGUCUUUCAAAGGUGAGGGGUGGUGCAUUAGAUUCCAAGGAAGCAAAUUUGAAAGGAAAACAAUGCCUUCAUUCCUUGAGAUUAUAUUGGUUGGAGCCAAUAGAAUGGAUGAUAUGGGACUUCGAACCAGAAAGGAACAACGUUGAGGAGGCUGAGUCAGCGACUCAAGUCCAAAGGAGCUCAUAAAUAAGGAUUAUAUUGGUGAGAGGUUCCCAAGUUGGAUGAUGAAUGAAGGGUUUGGUUCAUUGCUCCAAAAUCUAGCGAAAAUUAUGACGAAGAGUUGUAAAAGAUUCAGAGUUUUACCAGUACUGUUUGGUCAACUCCCUUCUCUUCAGUAUCUGGAGCUUGAGUACCUAGAUUCUGUAUGGAGAACAUGAAGAGCUACUCAUCAUCAGCAACACCAUUCUUCCCAUCCCUGAAGACACUUCGACUUGAAAGGUUGCCUCAUUUGAUGGAAUGGGGAAAGAGGGACGUAGCAGCAGAGCAAGCUCCUUCAUUUCCUUGUCUUUCCAAACUAAAGAUCAAGUUUGCUGGCCGGCCUUAAAUUGAUGUCCUUGGCAUUGCCUUCAUCUCCUUCUAGUCUUUCCAUUCUAGAUAUCAACGAAUGCAAUAACUUGGCAUCCUUGGCACUACCAUCAUCUCCUUUUCUUUAUGCUUUCUCAAUUAGACAUCAGUUCUUGCAAUAACUUGACAUCAUCGACACUUUCUUCAUUUCCUUGUCUUUCUCAAUUACAUAUCAAUAUUUGCCAGAACUUGAAAUCAUUACCAUUGUCUUUGUUCCUUGUCUUUCGAAAUUGCACAUCAGAUCUUGCCAUAAAUUUUUGCAAUAAAUUACUGUUUUUUGAGGAUUUGUUUUGGAAAUAAAUUACUUUUUGCAAUAAAUUUGAGGUGUUUUUAAAAAAUAAUAGUUUUUAAAUUUUUUUAAAACAUUGAGGUAUAAAAAAAAAAAUUAUUAAUUACCUUAAAUUUAAAAUUUUUAAAAGUAAUUUAAUUUUUUUUUUCUUCAGGAUUUGUAAGCCAUCUCUUAUUUGACCAGGGACUUGUGGAGCUGUUGUCGUUACCUGUAAAAGCUUGUGCAUGAUGAACAAUGAUAUGGUACCAAACAUUGGUGGAGCUUCCCUUUAAAGUAUGUGCAUGAUGAUGAAUUAUGAUCAUUUGAGGGAUUCACGAUUUUUAGAAAGAAAAAAGUGAAUUUGAAAAAGAAAAUGUCUGAAUGAAACUGACACCCAGCCUGUAAAGCACAAAGUGUGGUCAGACAAUACGAAUCAAACUUUAGCAACCUUGCCAAUGUAUUGGUCUCAGCAACACCAAUUUAAAAAUCCCCAUUAAACUCGGUAGCUCAGUGUUUACAGAUUUUGUGUUCAUGGCUGGUUCUCCUGAGAAUGCCAUGGUGCUGUCAUCAACAGCCGAUGAAGAUGAGAAACAAAGGGAAAGUAGAAGCAAAAGAGAGAUCAUUUCCACCCUCCCAACUGAAAAGGCCUGGAAAAUUCAGGGUCUUAUGUACCAGUACCAAGGCUUUUGGUACUAUUCUGGGGGUGCUGUAGAAGGAGUCAUGUGGAUGCAAAAAUGCUUCAAGGCAAGGAAUGAAGAUGUUCUCUUGGUCUCCUUUCCAAAAUGUGGAACAACAUGGUUGAAAUCUCUCAUGUUUUCUAUCAUGAAUCGAACCAGGUAUGAUUUCUCAGCACACCCUUUGCUGACUUCUAGCCCUCAUGAACUUGUUCCCUUCUUGGAAUUCUACGCAGAGCAGAACAUCCCCUUCCCAGACCUGGACACACUUUCCUCUCCUCAGCUCUUCCAUACUCACAUUGCCUUCACUUCAUUACCCCAACCUGUCAUAGACUCUCAGUGUCGAAUUGUCUAUAUCUGUCGCAACCCCAAAGAUGUGUUUGUUUCUAGUUUUUGUUUUAUCUCGAGAUGUCAUAUAGUGGUUCCCCUCGAAGAGGCAUUUGAGUUGUUCUGCAAAGGAAUUAGCUUCUAUGGACCCUUCUGGGACCAUGUUUUAGGGUAUUGGAAGGCUAGUUUAGCUUCACCCCAGAGAAUAUUGUUCUUGAAAUAUGAAGACGUGAAGGGGGAUUCCUUGUGUCAGGUCAAGAGGUUGGCAGAGUUCAUGGGCUCUCCCUUCUCUUCCGAGGAAGAAGGACAAGGUUUGAUACAUGAAAUUAUGGAGCUGUGUAGUUUUGAGAAUCUAAGAAAUUUGGAGGUAAACAAGACCGGAGCACUAUCUGUGGGCAAUAUCAGCACUGGAAAGGAUACUUUCUUCAGGAAAGGUGAGGUUGGUGAUUGGAAGAAUCAUUUGACAGCUGAAAUGGCCGAUCGCAUUGACAGGAUCAUGGAGGAAAAGUUGAAAGGUUCUGGUCUGACAUUCAGCGACUCCUGUGAUAGCUGAUUAUUAAUUCUGGAGGUGAACUUCAUAUGAUUUGUAUUAAGUUAAUUUAUUAACUAUCUAAUUGUCUUCUGUUAAGUGUGCUUGUGUGCUUGUAAUAAAUGGAAUGAUGGUGUUGAGUUAAUUUGUAUUAAGUUAUAAGGCUUUCUUAAUUUAUAUUUAAAUUCAAUACUUGGGCUAAGAAAUCAAUUCCACCAAAUAUACACAUGGACCAAUUAAAUUGGUCUCAUGAAUAUAACUAACUCAUCCUCGUCAAGAAAUUCCAAAAAUUUAAGGGCAACAUGUGUUUCAUGAGAUUGUUCAAUUUCUCACAUUUUUUUAUUUCAAUCUACCUGAACAAGCUCAAUUAUAAUUGAUUCUAUUACGGUCUCAUUUUCCAUCCGAUAUUGUUCGAUUUAAGACUAUAAUGAUGCACAUAUAAUCCAUCAGUCGAUGUUGAUUUUACUUCUUUAUUUGACCUAUGAAAAAACUUUGAAUGUGUUGUGAAAGUCCUUCAUGUAUAGCUCUUUAAUAUUUUCACAAUAUGAUAUUUUCUUCCUAAUCCAUGGUCAUUGUCUUCUCCACUUAAUUUUGGUGUGGCAUAGUCCUUAUGAAUAUUCUAAGAGUAAUCUCCCAACUAUUGCAUUAGAAUUUAUACUUACUAAUCAAUCAAUCAAUCAAUGAUCAUUGUCUUCGUCAUUGUCCUUAUGACUUGAGAGCAUGGGAUUGCACCAUUUUUUUUUUUUUUUUACCGACAAGUAGUAAUUGGAAGACAAAAAUUGUUGUAUUUGAUAAAGUCAAUAUCAAUAUGUUGGAGCUUAACAUGUAGGUCUUGUUGUUGUAAAUUCAACUUUUGAUUGCUUCAGGGUUAACUCCAUACCAUUUCAAAUUAGAUGUUUUCUGAGGUAUGCAUGCAUAGAAGGUUCGUAAACCUUAAGGAUUAGCUAACACAACACAUUAGAAUGAAAAUGAUGGAGUGAAGGUCUGAAAAAUGCAACACCCUCCUAGCUGAAGUGCUUGUCCUUGGGCAUUCAAACAUUUAGAGAUUUCUUUGCUACUUUCUAUUUCAUUUCUAACUUUAAAAAUUUGAUUUUGAAAUAUUUUUAAAGUAGAAAUCCUCCAUAAUUAAUUUCUAAAGUAUUUUAAGCAUACAUAAGCAUGUUUUAUUGAAAAUUUGUGAGCAUCUAAAUCUCACAAGAGGAUAGUCAUUAUGGAUGUUUGAGCCUCUAUCUUUCAAUUUUUUUCAAGAUAUUUCUUAAAAGAACUUUUAAAUUUGUUUACUACAAUAAAGAUCAAGGACUCACAUUACUUAAAUUUAAUUUAUUAAGGGUUUCAAACAAUCUAAUAACAGGCAUAAGAAAGUAUUACAUUGAGACAUAGAAAGAAAAGUGAUGGUACUGAUGAUAUUAUACCUUAAAAAAUAAGUAUAUCAAAUCAAGCUAAAUGAUAUUUUUUUUUCUUAUAUUUAAUUGAUAACUUGGUGAUCAAGAGAUGAUCCAUGAUCUUUAACCUAGGGGUUCUAGGCAGUUUUUCAUUUUUAUUCUAUAUAUUCUUACAAUUAUUUAGAAAAAGGAUUACUUGCUCGAAAAAGUUGAAUAUUUUUUGUGUAAUUUCCUAACAACCAAACAUUAGCAUAUUGGCAUUAAUUUUGGCUGACUUUCUUUUGGUAAGAAUAAGACAAAUAACUAUAGAAAGUGCUACGAGAUAUUUGUACACUUUAGGUUCCUUAGGAAGUAUAAGAAAGAUUAGUGAUUUUUUAUUUGUUCGAUUAGUUGGUUGAUUGGAGUUUUCCUUUUCGUGUUUUGUUGUCUCUUUGGGUAUUGAUAGGACAUGACCUUUUAAAGAAAAUGAUUCUUUAACAUGAGCACAAUGAACAGUUUUGUCCUUUGCAACAGUAAGUGAGUAUAGAAAUAAAAUGAAAAGAUUUGUACUUUAUAUGAGUUGUUCUUUGGGAAUACUACCUACAUUUGACCUCGAUAAUAAAAUGAUAUGUAAAGUGCAUGUCAUUAAAAAAUUUAUAAAAAUUUAUCAAACUAUAUAACCUAUUGGUGAGAAAUAAUCACAUGCAUUUUAUACGUAUCUAAAUAUCAUAAUUUUUUUUAAAAAUUUAUUAUUAAAUAUCAAAUAUAAUUUGUUAUUUAAUGAACUAUCUAACUCUACAUAAAAAUAAUAAAAAAUCUUAAUUUUUUAAUUGUAUUUUUAAUUUUUUUAAUUUUUAAUUUUAUUAAUCUCAAAUUAAUUCUCAUAUUAAAUUAAUUUAUAUUAUUAAUAUAUAAAAAGGUCAUUUUAGGAAAUAAUUAUUUGAAUCAUGAAAAAAUAUAUAUUUUAAAAUAUUUUAAAUGAGUGAGGAUAAAUAUGAUUUAUAAAAGUUUGAGAUAUUUUUUUAUACUUUUUUGUUUUAAAUUGGUAAGUGAAAACCCACUUUUUCCAAAAAUAAUUAUAUAAACAUGUAGAAUAAAACACUACACAUACAAAUUAUUUUUGAAAAUAUUAAAAAUAUGUUAAAGAUAAUUUAGGUCUUUAAACAAACCUUUGCUUUACAAAAUAUAAGAAAAAAAAAUUAAAAACUGUUAUUUAAAACUAUUUUUGAUUCAAAAACAAUUUCUAGACAUAGCCUAUGUUUUUGUCUUCUUUUCUUUUUAUCUCCUUGUUCUUUACUUUGUUUUCUUAUACUCUGCACAAGGCUCUCUAGUUUCCUCCACAACACUCCUACCAACUGCCGCCACCUUCUUUACAGGCAAUACAGAGCUUAAUGUACUUUUAAAAAAUGAAGAUAAAGAGGAAAUCAUUAAUUGGAUAUUUGGAUGUCAACCUAAUGCAAGCAUUAUAUUUAAAUUGAAUUGUUUUGCAGUUGGUCAGAUUUCCACAUCUUUCCCAAAUAUUGCUGAAGAAUUGGUUUGACAAGUGCUGUUUUCUUCUACAAAAUAAUUGAACAUACAUUAUCACUUCAAAUCAAGUGUCGGGGAAUUAUGCCUUCUUGCUUCAAUGUUAAUCUUGAUAGACAGCUCAUAUUUUUAGUCAUUCCCAUAAUUGUUGCAAUCAUGCCAUUAAUAUAUUUGUGACUAGUGUAUUUAAAUACCACAUCCACAAUCAUAGCUGUAAUUGCUCCAUGUAUCAAGCCAUUACAUGUGUUUAUAUACCCAUGUAAAUUAUGAAUGAAAGCAAGAGUUUUUCUGUUCAAGUUUCUGUUGUUUUAAAUCUAUCAACUCAAAGCUUUACUUAGAGUUAGGGAUGAAGAUAGGCGGGCUCACCCGAUCUAAUUUGAACCCAAUUGGAUAUUUGAACGAAUUUAAACAAUCAUUUUUAAUAAUCAGGUUGGGUUGAGUUAGGCUUUUUUCAACCUGAACUUAAUUUGGAUUGAGUUCGGAUUAAGGUUUAGACAACUAGAGUUUAACUUGAAUCCGAUUUAAUGUUUUUAUAAUAUUUAUAACACAUUUUAUUCUAUAUAAUAAUAUAAGUUUUCUUUUUCUAUUUUUAUGAAAAAUAUCAAAUUAUAUUAGAUACUAUGUUUUUUAUUAUUUUUAGAAAAUAUAUAAAUUUAUACUUAUUCUUUUAUUGCUAUCUUGAAAUUUUGUCCUAUUUGUUAUUAAAAUUUUCAUAUAAAUACAUUAAGAUAAUAUUAUACAUAGAUUUUGAAUUAUGCAACAUGACCAAUUCAAGUGUAACUUGAUCAAUCUGAAUUUAACUUAAACAACCCAAACUCAAUCUAAGUUUAGAAAAAUUAGAUUGGAUUCAACUUGAUUUAAAUACAUUGGGUUAGAGUUCAAGUUGGGUUGAGUUCAAAUUGAUUAUUUCUUAAUUCAAUUUAGGUUUAGGUUAGUCUUCAACUCGAUCAACUCACCCAAUUUACAACCCUAGAUAGAGUACCAACUUUCGAAUCAUACUUUAAUAAACCCAAAAGCCUAAUUAAGAGAUAAAAAAAAGCUACCUAAAAGCAAAUCAACUUGAAUUUUUAUCGAAAAAACAAUAUCAGUAAUACAUUUAAGUUAUGUUUGGUUUUUAAAAAAUGAAGGAAAAUAAAAAAUAGGAUUAAAGUUAAUAAAUUAUUUUUAUAUGCUAGCUUCUUCAAAUUCAUUUAACUUAUUUCUCUCAAUUACCUGAAGAUUAAAUAAUUUUUAAAUAUAUAAAUUUUUAAUGAAUUGUAAUUAUAAUUAAGCUAGGAGAGAUUUACAUUUGAAAAAGUACCAACAUCUUUAACCUAUCUGAGUCAUCUAAGAUAUGUCGAUAUUUCUUAUAAUAAAUAUGAGGUACUUCUUAAUGCAAUUACAAAGCUAAAGCAUUUACAGACAUUGAAACUUUUUCAAUGUUUGUAUCUUAAAGAAUUGCCAAAAAAAUAUAAACAAUCGGACAAACUAGAGGCAUCUUGAGAUUGAUGGGAAUAGUGGAUUGACUUUUAUGCCAUGUGGGUUAGGAGAAUUGACUAUGCUUCAGACUCUACCAUUGUUCUUUGUUGGGAAUAACAACAGGAAUUCUAGUGAUAAGAGAAUUGGUCAGUUGAAUGAAUUAAAAUGCAUUAACAACCUCAGAGGAGAAUUGUAAAUUGCACAACUUUCAAAUAUGAGGGGUGGUUGUGAAUGUUUGCAAAAAAAAAAAAAAAAAACCAUCACACAUUAUCGUGGUGAGUGUUUCUUCUAUAUAUUGUCAUUUACAAAGUACAUAAAAAUAGAAAGAAUAAAUAUGUACAAGAGAAUAGCCUAGAAUUAAGGACAAGAUAUUGAGCCGAAUAUUAAGGUAGCUAAUUAAAGUAAUGUAUCCUUGACACCCCCCACAAGCUGAGCGUCGGAUUUGAAUAGACAUGAAGCUUGGUACGAAAGAAGUCAAAGAGAGGGCGAGAAACACUUUUGGUGAAGAGGUCGGCAACUUGUAGAUGAGAGGGCACAUAUUGAGUGCGAAGUUUACCAACAAUAAGAAGUUCUCGAAGAAAAUGAUAGUCUAAUUCAACAUGCUUAGCCAGUUUGUGGGAAACGGGGUUGGAGCUUAAGAAAAUCGCACUUUUGUUGUCACACGGGAGAAUAGGCUUCGGUGUAAUGGGAACCUUAAGAUCAUGAAGUAGAUGGGUGAGCCAAAGGAGUUCAGCUGCAGUAGUGGCAAGGGUACGAUACUCAGAUUCACAACUAGAACGAGAGACAGUGGGUUGCUUUUUAGCACUCUAAGAAACCAGAUUAUCGCCAAGAUAAAUAGAGUAGCCAAAGGUGGAACAUGGAGUAUUGGGACAACCGGCCCAAUCAGCAUCAGAGUAAGCAACUAGGGCACUAGGAGCACCAAAAGGGCGAAAAGUAAGACCAAAGUGAAGUGUGCCCUUGACAUAACGUAAGAUGCCCUUGACCGCAAGAAAGUGAUCCUCAGUAGGGGCAUGUAGAAACUGACUAACAGAGUUGACAACAUGAGCAAUGUCAGGGCGAGUGAUGGUUAAGUAUUGAAGGGCACCAACUAGGGAUCAAUAGAGAGUGGGGUCUGAGAAGGCAGUACCAUCACUAGUCAGAUGCUGAAAGACAACCAUAGGAGUGUGAACAGGCUUGCUGUUAAAUAACUGGGCACGAGUCAGAAUAUCCCGGGCAUGUUUCAGCUGAUUGAUAAAAAGACCAUCAGUAAUGGAAGUGGCUUCCAGACCAAGAAAGUAGCUGAGAGAGCCCAAAUCCUUGGUGGCAAACUCAGAAUUGAGCUUGUGAGCAAAGCUAUCAAGAAGAGAAGAGUUGUUGCCAGUAAUGAUAAUGUCAUCAACAUACAAGAGCAAAUAAAUAAUGUCAGACUAUUGAUGAAAGACAAAAAGAGAGGUGUCUGCACGGUUGCAAGAAAACCCAAGGGUGAGAAGAAAAGAGUUGAAACGUUGAAACCAGGCACGAGGAGCUCUUUUGAGGCCAUAGAGAGCUUUCUUCAACUGACAGACAUGAUUCAGGUACCGGGGAUCAAUGUACUUAAGAGGUUGUUCCAUAUAACAUUUUUAGUGAGAGUGCCAUUGAGGAAUGCAUUCUUCACAUCAAGUUGGCGAAGAGGCCAUUUGUUGGUAACAGCAAGAUAGAGCACAACACGAACAAUAGUAACCUUAAUAACAGGAUUGAAAGUGUUAGUGUAAUCAAGACUAGGUACCUGAGUAUAGCCUUUGGCCACAAGACGAGCCUUGAGGUGCUCAAUAGACCCAUCAGGCAAAUAUUUGGUCCAUAACACCCAUUUGGAACCAACAAUAUUUGUGUGGGCAGGUCAAAGAACUAGAACCUAGGUGCGAUUAUGUUGCAGAGCUUGAACUUCUUCAUCCAUGGCAACAAGCCAUGCAGGAUUCUUAGUAGCAGACUUGAAUCAUUUAGGCUCGGUGGAGGCAAGAAGAGUAGAGAGAAGCCCAAAUGAGCUUAAGACAUUGAGAUUCGCCGGAUGACGGGUCUUGAAAAUGUCAACUUUAGCUUGAGUAAGCAUGAGAUGAGAACCCAACGGAAGAGCUAGAGUAGGAGCAACAUCAGAAGCAACAGGAGGUGGGCGAGGCUUCAGAGACGGGGAAGAUGGACCUACAAGAGAGUCAGUAACCUGCAAAGACUUGUCCAUUGGGUUAGUACAAAUAACACACGGGUUAGAUUCAGACGGUGUAAUGGAUGGAGAAUGGUGUAGAGGAGACAUCGGAGGGGGGUCAAUAUGAGGCAUGCUUGGUUAAAGGAAAUUCGAAAAAUGGAGAGAAGAAGGGGGUUGGGCUUGGGAGCCAUUUAUGGAGGGAAAGUGGUGUUUAUCAAAUUGAGCAUGAUGGGUGAUAUAAAGCUUAGAGGUGGUGGGAUCAAGACAACGAAAACCUUUGUGGGAAGGGCUAUACCUUAGAAAGAUGGAAAGAAUGCUGUGAGGGGAAAAUUUUUUAGACAUAUAAUCACGCAGACAAGGAUAAACAGGACAAUCGAAAUGAUGAAAAUUCUCAUAAUUAGGUUAUGAACCAUAGAGAAGCUCAAAUGGAGACAUACCUCUGAGAAGCAGUGUGGGCAAAAGGUUAAUGAUGUAGGCUGUAGUGCUGAAGGCAUCAACCCAAAAGCAAGGAGAAAGAUGAGAAUGGAAAAGGAGGGUCAGACCGGUUUCUGUCACAUGUCGGUGUUUUCUUUCAGCACGACCAUUUUGGGUGGGGGUAUAGGGGCAAGAGAGUUGAUGAUGAAUACCCGAGUUGCUAAGGUGGGCUUUGAAGCGAUUGCUUGUAAACUCAGCACCACCAUCACUAUGAAAAUUUUUGAUGCGAGUGGAAUGUUGGUUUUCAACAAGAUUUUGAAAGUGAAUAAAAAUGUCAUAAAAUUCAGAUUUUUAUUUCAAAGGGUAAAGCCAAGUAAAGCAGGAAUAAUCAUCAAUGAAUAACACAUAAUAAAUAAAUCCCGAAGUUGACUUAACGGGGGAAGGACCCCAAAUAUCGUAAUGAAUAAGAUCCAACACAUGAGACAAGCGACGUUCAUUACGAGAAUAAGGCAAGCAAUGAUUUUUUGCAAUUUGACACGUCACAUAAUGAAAGAGAAGGCAACAAUGAGGUAAGAUAAAGAUGGUCAUUUUUAUUUAAUAAAGAAAUAAUUGCUAACAUGUCCAAGACGAGCAUGCCAUAAAUCAUACGAGGCAUGAAGAGCCUUAUUUUUAAGAACAAAAAUGAAAGAGGAAUUGCCGCGCUCCAGCACAUAUAGACCACCAUCUCUUUUACCGGUUGCCACCACCCUUCCCGUUUGAUGAUUCUGGAUAGAAAAAAGUUAUUAGUAAAUGUAAUAGCAAGAAGAGGAAAACCGGAUGUUAAUUUACUAAUUGACAAUAUAUUUUCGUUAAGCGAGGAACAACUAAUACAUCCAAUAACUCAAGAGAUGGGGUAGGAGAGAUGGUACCGGUGUGGGUAAUGGGAAGGGAAGCACCAUUCCCGACAACUACACGAUCCUUACCCGUGUAAUUACUUGCUCGAUCCAAGUGGGAGAGGUCUGGUGUCAUGUGGGCUGAAACCCCUGUGUCCAGGUACCAGUCACUGGGCUUGGGCCUAUUAAGAGAGCAAGAGGCCUUAAAGACCUUAAAGGCCUCGACAAGGUUGGUUGUGGUGCCAACAGGUUCUCCACCUCGUGCAUAUCGCUGGUUUCACUUAUCAGCGUAGUGCCCUUCCUGGUGACAGAUCUGGCAGCGUGGCGGACGGCGGCCCUGCCCGGAGUUGGAACGACCAUUGCCACAGUGGGAAUAUGAGUGGCGACCUGAUUGAUGACGAGACUGGUUUAUGAAAGCUGAGCGAGGUUGACCAUGAUUGGUGGCUGUGAAAGCAGCUGUGGGUGGACCAUGAUUGUCAAGGGAUUUAUGGAAAAGCUUAAAGCUUUCAGCCUUGGAGAACAAAUCAGGAAAGGAGGGCAGUGGCGUUUGAGCCAUUUGGGCGGGUGGAAAAGCUUGUGAAAUCUGAACCAAGGCCACGGAGGAACCAAUGGACUUUAUCAGUGUUGUCGACUGGUCUUCCAAUGGUGUGGAGUUGAUCACAAAGGGCUUUGAACGCCCGAGCAUAUUCGGUUACCAAUCACGUCCCAUGUCUCAUCAAUUGAAGGUCAUCCUUGAGCCGAAUUUCUCUGGCUUUUGAUCAGUGACUGAAUAUAUUUUCGAGUGCUAACUAGACCUCGCAUGAGGUGGAGAGGCCCACAACCUCGGCCAUGGCUUCCUCCGUGAGGGAGGAGAGCAAAAGACUCAAGAGGCGCUGGUCAGUAUUUUUCCAUGCCAAGUGCUUGAUGUUUGGUGCCCGAGAGUCAACAGGAGCAAACCGUGGAGGAGGUGCAAGAGUUCCAUCCACAUGGCCGAGAAGUUCUUGGCUUUCAAGGAGAGGAAGAAGCUGGCUCUUCCAUAGGAGAUAAUUGGAGGAGGAGAGUUUGAUGGUCACCAUGUGAAUCAUGGUGUUGAAAGGGAGAAGGUGGGGGAGGUGUUUUUGAUAGCCAUUGAAGCAAGGGGGAUCGAUGGAGGCUAGUCCGAGAGGGCUCUGAUACCAUGUGAACGUUUUCAAAAAGAAAAAAACCACCACACAUUAUUGUGGUGAGUGCUUCUUCUACAUAUUGCCAUUUACAAAGUACAUAAAAAUAGAAAGAAUAAAUAUGUACAAGAGAAUAGCUUAGAAUUCAGGACAAGACAUUGAGCCGAAUAUUAAGGUAGCUAAUUAAGGUAACGUAUCCUUGACAGUGGUGCAUUAGAUUCCAAGGAAGCAAAUUUGAAAGGAAAACAGUGCCUUCAUGCCUUGAGAUUAUAUUGGUUGGAGCCAAUAGAAUGGAUGAUAUGGGACUUUGAACCAGAAAGGAACAACGUUGAGGAGGCUGAGUCGGUGACUCAAGUCUAAAGGAGCUCUACAUUAAGGAUUAUAUUGGUGAGAGGUUCCCAAGUUGGAUGAUGAAUGAUGGGUUUGGUUCAUUGCUCCCAAAUCUAGUGAAAAUUAUGAUGAAGAGGUGUAAAAGAUUCAGAGUUUUGCCACUGUUCGGUCAACUCCCUUCUCUUCAGUAUCUGGAGCUUGAGUGUUGUAUGGAGAACAUGAAGAGCUACUCAUCAUCAGCAACACCAUUCUUCCCAUCCCUGAAGACACUUCAACUUGAAAGGUUGCCUCAUUUGAUAGAAUGGGGAAAGAGGGACGUAGCAACAGAGCAAGCUCUUUCAUUUCCUUGUUUUUCCAAACUAAAGAUCAAAGUUUGCUGGCUGGCCCUAAAUUGAUGUCCUUGGCAUUGCCUUCAUCUCCUUCUAGUCUUUCUAUUCUAGAUAUCAAAGAAUGCAAUAACUUGGCAUCCUUGGCACUACCAUCAUCUGCUUUUCUUUAUGAUUUCUCAAUUAGACAUCAGUUCUUGCAAUAACUUGACAUCAUCGACACUUUCUUCAUUUCCUUGUCUUUCUCAAUUACAUAUCAAUUUUUGCCAGAACUUGAAAUCAUUACCAUUGUCUUUGUUCCUUGUAUUUCGAAAUUGCACAUCAGAUCUUGCCAUAAAUUUUUGCAAUAAAUUACUGUUUUUUGAGGAUUUGUUUUGAAAAUAAAUUACUUUUUGCAAUAAAUUUGAGGUGUUUUUGAAAAAUAAUAGUUUUUAAAUUUUUUUAAAACAUUGAGGUAUAAAAAAAAAAUUAUUAAUUACCUUAAAUUUAAAUUUUUUUAAAAGUGACUUAUUUUUAUUUCUAUUUUUUCUUCAGGAUUUGUAAGCCAUCUCUUAUUUGAUCAGGGACUUGUGGAGCUGUUGUCGUUACCUGUAAAAGCUUGUGCAUGAUGGACAAUGAUAUAGUACCAAACAGGAAAGGAUUUGGUGGAGCUUCCCUUUAAAGUAUGUGCAUGAUGAUGAAUUAUGAUCAUUUGAGGGAUUCACGAUUUUUAGAAAGAAAAAAGUGAAUUUGAAAAAGAAAAUGUCUGAAUGAAACUGACACCCAGCCUGUAAAGCACAAAGUGUGGUCAGACUAUACGAAUCAAACUUUAGCAACAUUGCCAAUGUAUUGGUCUCAGCAACACCAAUUUAAAAAUCCCCAUUAAACUCGGUAGCUCAGUGUUUACAGAUUUUGUGUUCAUGGCUGGCUCUCUUGAGAAUGCCAUGGUGCUGUCAUCAACAACCGAUGAAGAUGAGAAACAGAGGGAAAGUAGAAGCAAAAGAGAGAUCAUUUCCACCCUCCCAACUGAAAAAGGCUGGAAAAUUCAGGGUCUUAUGUACCAGUACCAAGGCUUUUGGUACUAUUCUGGGGGUGCUGUAGAAGGAGUCAUGUGGAUGCAAAAAUGCUUCAAGGCAAGGAAUGAAGAUGUUCUCUUGGUCUCCUUUCCAAGAUGUGGAACAACAUGGUUGAAAUCUCUCAUGUUUUCUAUCAUGAAUCGAACCAGGUAUGAUUUCUCAGCACACCCUUUGCUGACUUCUAGCCCUCAUGAACUUGUUCCCUUCCUGGAAUUCUACGCAGAGCAGAACAUCCCCUUCCCAGACCUGGACACACUUUCCUCUCCUCAGCUCUACCAUACUCACAUUGCCCUCACUUCAUUACCCCAACCUGUCAUAGACUCUCAGUGUCGAGUUGUCUAUAUCUGUCGCAACCCCAAAGAUGUGUUUGUUUCUAUUUUUUGUUCUCUCGAGAUGGAAUAUAGUGGUUCCCCUUGAAGAGGCAUUUGAGUUGUUCUGCAAAGGAAUUAGCUUCUAUGGACCCUUCUGGGACCAUGUUUUAGGGUAUUGGAAGGAUAGUUUAGCUUCACCCCAGAGAAUAUUGUUUAUGAAAUAUGAAGAUGUGAAGAGGGAUUCCUUGUGUCAGGUCAAGAGGUUGGCAGAGUUCAUGGGCUUUCCCUUCUCUUCCGAGGAAGAGGGACAAGGUUUGAUACAUGAAAUUAUGGAGCUGUGUAGUUUUGAGAAUCUAAGAAAUUUGAAGGUAAACAAGACCGGAGCAAUAUCUGUGGGCAAUGUCAGCACUGGAAAGGAUACUUUCUUCAGGAAAGGUGAGGUUGGUGAUUGGAAGAAUCAUCUGACAGCUGAAAUGGCCGAUCGCACUGACAGGAUCAUGGAGGAAAAGUUGAAAGGUUCUGGUCUGACGUUCAGCGACUCCUGUGAUAGCUGAUUAUUAGUGCUGGAGGUGAACUUCAUAUGAUUUGUAUUAAGUUAAUUUAUUAACUAUCUAAUUGUCUUCUGUUAAGCGUGCUUGUAACAAAUGGAAUGAUGGUGUUAAGUUAAUUUGUAUUAAGUUAUAAGGCUUUCUUAAUUUAUAUAUAAAUUCAAUACUUGGCUAAGAAAUCAAUUCCACCAAAUAUACACAUGGACCAAUUAAAUUGGUCUCCUGAAUAUAACUAACUCAUCCUUGUCAAGAAAUUCCCGAACCUUAAAAGGGCAACAUGUGUUUCAUGAGAUUGUUCAAUUUCUCCCCUUUUUUUUAUUUCAAUCUACCUAAACAAGCUCAAUUACAAUUAAUUUUAUCAUAUUUUAAAAAAUUUGUGUAACACGGGUCUCAUGAGCUUGUUCCCUUCUUGGAAUUCUACUUACAUCAGAACAUCCCUUUCCCAAAAUUGGACACACUUUCCCCUCCGCAUCUCUUCCAUACUCACUUUCCUUUUACUUCCUUACCUCAACCUGUCAUAGACUCUCAGUGUCGAAUUGUCUACAUCUGUCGCAAUCCCUUUCCAUUGAAGAGGAAUUUGAGCAGUUCUGUAAAGGGGUAUGUGUCUGUGGACCCUUCCGGGAUCAUAUUUUAGGGUAUUGGAAGGCAAGUUUGGAUUCGCCCAAGAGUGUUGUUCAUGAAAUAUGAAGAUCUGAAGAGGGAUUCCUCAUUUCAUGUCAAGGAGUUGGCAGAGUUCAUAGGCUGCCCCUUCUCCCCGGAGGAAGAAACCCAAGGUUUGGUACAUGAAAUUAUAAAGCUGUGUAGCUUUGAGAAUCUAAGCAAUUUGAAGGCAAACAAGAUAGGAGCAUUAUCCGUGGGGGAUGUUAGAUUUAGAAAGGAUACUUUCUUCAGGAAAGGUGAGAUUGGAGAUUGGAAGAAUCAUUUGACAGCUGAGAUGGCUGACCGUCUUGACAGGAUCAUUGAGGAAAAGUUUAAAGGGUCUGGUUUGACAUUCAGUGAUUCCUGAUCUGCAGAUGAUCAAUUGUUGCAAAUGUAACCAUAUUAAUGGUGUCAUGGAGGUGUAUCAAUUAUGGUUUGUAUUAAUAAAUUUGAAAUGUUUUCUUAGACUGCCUCUUGCAAUUUUAAUGUUUUUAUAGUGUAGUUAGUACUUGGUAUAGCUGUGAACCUACCAAUCAUUAGUUACACUACUGAUGGCUUAAGAUUACUUUUAAAUUAAAAUCAUGUUUAAUAACUUAAAUUAAGUCAUUAAUUAUUAAGUCAAAUUAAGUCAUUAAAUUGAUUUAUCAAAUAUCUGGUCAUCCCUUUCCUGGUAAGAGCCAUAGUAAGAUUACGAAGUUGUCUCAUUUUUCCCUUUUAUUCCUCAAUUUACUCAAAACAAAUUUAACUACAUCUGGUUUGAUCUCAAACCAUUCUCCAAAUCAAGGUCUUCGAACGAUCUCAUAUAUACGUAUGCUAGAUAGAGGGGUGAACAAAGCCCUUUAAUAAAGAGUUACUUGAUUAAAAUUGAUGAGAAAAUCCAAAUUUGCACUCUGUUCUUUCUUACUCUCCAUGUGAACUUCCAACUCCAUGUUCCUACAGCUUCUUCUGUUUCUAACAUAAAUAAAUCAUAUAGCACCAUUGAGAUGACUCAACAGCUUUGUACAAGAAAGCAUUUAAUAUUUUAAUAUAUAUAUAUAUAUUCAAAACUUAAAAAUAAAUUUAAAUAUUUUUUUAUUCAUGAUAAUAAAUAUCAAAAUAAUAUAGAUAAAACAACUAAUAAUUUUGAAAUUAAUAAAAUAUAUAGCUACUAAAAUCUAAUUUUAAAUAAUAGAAUCUUAUGUUAUAAGAAUAAUUAUAAGUUAAGCAUAUUUAAUAAAAUUAGAAAUGCUAAAAUUUUAAUAAAUCUUCAUGGCACCCUUAUCAUAAUUUAAUCUAUCAAUAUUAAUGAUAAAAAGAUGAAAUUUGUUUAAAUUUUUUAAUUUUUUAGGUUUUAACUUUUAAUAAUUUAUAAAUUAUAUAUUUGUGGCAUCACUAGUUUGACUACGGUUCAAUCAUCUGUCCAACCAUUGAACUGUGUAUCAAUAACUUUUCUAAUUCAACGAUUGAUCAAAUUCUAAAAACAUUUUAAUAAGUAAAACUAUAUUUUAGAAAUAGUUUUAUUAAAAAUAAUAAUAAUUAUGAAAUUAAAUUUUAGAACAAAUAGGGAUCUGAAUUGCACUCAAUUAUUAGGUGUGACCUUUGUUCCUCACAUGGGUAAAAAUUGGUUGUAUCUCCUUAAACUAUUGGAUGGGGGUAGUGUAGAAUGAUUUCUAAAACCAACAUUUUUUUAUUAGAUCUUUUUAGUAAAGUGAUGUGUUUUAUAAUUAUGUCUAGAUAAAUACACGUAUGCUGCACAACUAGCUUGACUCUUGGAUUUUGCCAUGUAAUUGAUGCAUGCCUUGAUUUGGUCAAGGGUUACGCAUUUGGAACAUGGAUGGGGCUUUAAUCAGUCCUAUUGGCAAGCAUUGUGGACACUAGAUAAAUUGCUUUAUGGCUUGGUUUCAUUAAGAUAGACCUUAAUGUCGAUAUAGGAAUUAGAGAGUUUCUUGUCUAGAAUUAAAGAGUUUCACUAUUCAAGAUGAUAAUUUGCAUUAAUAAAGAAAUUUGCAUUAAUCAGGCUUGGGAGCUUUAUCCUCACAAAAACCUUUAAGCGCCUCCAGCACCUCCUGCUUCGAAAACGGCUCCUCCAAACUGGCUGCAUCCACAGUCUCCAAUCUCUCAAAAGGCAAUCCCCUUAAAUUGGGUCUCCAACCUCCAGCAAAAGACAACAUAGAUUUAAACUUAGUCACCACCCCAUCUCUAAGCUCAUUCUCCUCUGUUAACCAAACUCCAUUUAUUUUGACAUGGGAUAACAUGUUCUGCCUCCUGUGAGUGUUAGCCAUCCUAUGGAAGAACUUAGUAUUCCUGUCCUCCUCUCUCAACUAGACUUCCCUGGAUUUUUGUCUCUAAGAUAUCUCUUCCAGCAAAGCCCACUUCUUAAAAUCCUCUUUAGCUCAUCUCCUUGCGUCCACCUCCUGAACAGAGAGAGGCCAAGAUAACUCCAUUUUGUCCCAGAAAUCCACCUGACUCAAAGCCAAAGUCUUAUUGACCUCCACUUUCCCAAACUCCAGCUUAUUCCAAUAUCUCAACAGAGGCUUCAAAGCUUUAAAUUUAGAAGCUAACACAUAGCUUGCAGAUCCACUAAAAUUGAGCCCCACUCACCACCCCUGCAUUUUUUCUUUGAACCCCUCUUCCUUCAACCACAUAUUCUCAAACCUGAACGGCAUCGGACCACUCCUUACUCCUCCCCCGUCUAGAAGAAUUGGAAAAUGAUCUGAAGUCGGCUUAGGAAGGACAUACUGCAUAAACCCAGAGAAAUGAUCCUCCCAUUCAUUUGAAAUCAGAAACCGAUUGAGCCUUGAAUGGGAUUGAUUGUUCAAUCCUCCCUUCUAGGUGAAGGAGCCUCCUUGCAAAGGCAGGUCCCUCAACUCUAAAUCCUCCAUAAUAUCCAAAAAUCUCCUCAUUGAAGCAGAUAAUCUGCCUCCCCUACUGCUCUUUAUAGGGAAUCUCACAACAUUGAAAUCCCCUGCCACACACCAAGGAUCACUCCAUAGACCCCUUACCGCUCCUAAUUCCGCCCAAAAAUCUUCCCUCUCUUUCAUCAACGAAGGCCCAUAAACUCCAAAGAAUAACCAACAAAAGUCGUCCUCACAAUUUUUGAAUCUGCAAGACACUGAAAAGUUCCCCACUUCCGCUUCCAAUAAUUGCAGCACCUUUUUAUCCCAUAACACCAGCACACCACUAGAAGCUCCCCUCGAAUUUAACACCUUCCAAUCCAGACAUCUUCCCACUCCGAGGCUUCUAACUAUCAUCUUUGACAUUUCCUGCAUCUUGGUCUCUUGUAAACACACUACAUCCACCUUUUGACCCUUGAUCAACGCCUUAAUCACCUUUCUUUUCUCACUAUCAUUAGCUUCUCUAAUAUUCCACGACAAAACUCUUAAUUUCAUAACAUCCACCUUAAUAACCCUCUCUCUCCUCUCUGGACCAAUAAACCUAAACUUCAGUUAGCAAUCUGAAGCAACCCCGCACUCUUUCUAGUCCCACAAUAAUUCACUGAACACUCCAAUUUUUUCAAUUCUCUCUCUGACUUGGAGACCUUUUGAACUUUUUUUUUCCGCCACAACACCCUUAAUAUUCUUUUGCUCUUCCAUUCCUCUUAAUAAUAAUAAUAAAACUUCCCCUUCAAAACCCUCCGUAGGCAUACCCAGACACUUACAAAGAUUUAUAAAAUCUCCAUUCAUCCACGAGCCCAACACACUUCUAUUAUCUUCCUCCGAAACUCUUCCCAUAACUUCUAUCGACAUUUCUCCCCCCUUACUCUCCUUAAUAUUCUUCUCCAUGCCGAAAGAAAUUUCCCUCUCCCUUCCACCAGCCUCAAUGAUUCUCAACGGGUCAGCCAUCCCUUCUUCGUUCACCAAAUAUGGCCCCUCGAGUGCCACCAAGUCCCGAAUAGCCAUAAAAUCCUCAUUUUUUUCCCUACAGAAAGAAAAAGAAGAAGAGGAAAGAUGUCCCCGAUCCCCGAAACUAAGAAGAGAACAGUUUUCGGGAAGUGAGUACCUGGAAACCUCCUCCAAGAGGGCCUCAUCUGCUCUAAUCUUUCCUCCUGCUUCAGCCCACAACGCAGCGCAGACAAUGGCCUCGACUAGCCUCGACUCCUCGCACGAAGACUGAAUCGUCGGAGCCCUAACUUUCAUAAAGCAAUCAUUGUGACCCAUCUGGGCUAUACCUUGGCCCAAUCCCCUGAGCCCACAUUCCUUUGAAAGACCCAAAGAAGGUUAACAACCCUUUUUACUAAGGCCCACUCCAAAACCCUCCUGGGCCACAGGCUUCUCCGGACCUAUAAACUGUCCACAGCCCCUUUGGGCUCCCCCCUUCUUCAAACUUCCCCCCUUACUUGACUCAACCCAAUAUUCCUUAGGCCCACUACCUUUACCCCUUAAGCCCAUUCCCUCUGAUGCAAAACCCACUUCUUCAGCUGCUCUCUUUCCCUUUCCAUCAAAGUCCUCACCUGCUUCAGUACCCCCCGCCAUAUCCCGACCAUACUCCAAAGUAUCAGCUCCUACCUGCUCUUCACUGCCUACCUCACUUGCUGCCAUGGUUCCUUGUACUCACGAUGGCCCCACACUGCUUCCCACGUGUGAAGCCAAGCAUCCUUCGUCUCUGCCUUGCGACUUCUCCCUUCCUUGCGCCGACACUGUUACCGACACCCAUGGCGACACCUCCCACCAAAGCUGAAUAGCGAAACACAAAGAGCCCACCACCAAAUAUAACACCCUAGGUAAAUCCUUUCCAUCCGAUUUCACUUAAAACCUUGCCCACUGGAGCUGAGAGAAGUUAGUUGUAUCCUCGUCCACAGCCACCAGCCCUCCACAGCUGUUCCCCAAUUUUCUGAACACUUCAUAGUUCCAGAAAUUGAGAGGGAGCCCCACCGCCCUCACCCAACAAAGGUUUGUAUGAACUCCAUGACGAAAACAACCUGCUUCCGGACCUCAUCUUUCUAACUGAAAAAGUUUGUCCUGAACACGUCGGUUUCCUCUUUGCAACACUCUUUCUGCUUCUUCUGCUAUCUCAAAUUUUGCAAGAAAAGAAGUGCCUCUCAAAUAUGAAAACCUCACUCUCUUUUUCAAGUUCCAUAAACGCCUUCCCCAUAACCUUAAACAAUCUAGAUUUGGACAUUGAUCAACCUCUGUUUCCCACCUUCCCACAAGACAACGCCCUAAUUGCUCAUCUCUUCCUUUUAAUGUUCUGCUCCCUAGCUGAAUCCACAUUGCGUCCCCUAUUCUUCCCGCCUUUACCUUUGCUACUUCAACAAAUGAACGCGUAUACUCCUCCCCCUUCUCCGUGUCUUCGUCUCUUCUUCCUUCCUUUGCUCCUACCCAACCUACACCCACCUUUAUUUUCAGCUAGCAGAUGAAUACCUAAAGAACAAAGCUUUUCAGCUAGCAAAACCCAUCCCCCAAUUAACCCUCUGCCUUCCGGAAACACCAAACUAAACCUUUUCGCUUCCAUAUCACGAACAGAACAGAUAAUGUACCUCCCCGCCUCAUUAGCACGCAAUUCUAAUAUGAAUUUCCUCAUCUCCUCUACCCAAGUUUUGAUAACUUUCCUGAACUUCUCCUCCUUGCAACAAGCCUCUACUCCCCCAAGCAAACUCCUUAACCCAUAAUCUCCGAACCUAAUCCAAUUGGAGAAGCCUUUACUUCUCUCCAUUAUGAUCCCACGAAGCUUCCCCCCUGAAGAGUAAAUCAAAAUCUCAAAGGAUUUUGAUUCCACCACAAAACAACAUCUACCCCCUCCAGCACCUCUAGCACCUCCAACACUUACUCUCUCCAUCAUAACAUAGGUAGUUAAAUAUUAAACAUCAAGACAUAUUCAAGCCAGUUCCUACUGAUGCAUCUCCAAGUAAUUUCUACUGCUUCUUUAAGUGCUUUUUCAACCUUAAUUCAAUCUCCUUAACUGUUUUACAGGUAGAGUCAUACUCCUUAUCAACUCCUUCAUGAGGUAUUAUAAAAAAAUUUAUCUACCUUCAAAAUUUUCAUAAAUUCUUAAUAUAGAACUUGCAAAGAAUCUUUCAUGACUAAACUCUUAGGACUCUUUAUGGGGAUUCAAAUCUCGAGGUGCGGACCACCUCGCAGUGACCAAUAUUGGGUAAAUUCAAGGUAUUAUCAAUGGUAUGAUUCAAAUUUAGGAUUAUAUGUCAUUUAUUGAGACUAUACUUCUCAGUAUUCAUUCUAACUAAUUAGGUUAGCCUGAUAUGUGAUAUAUUAAUUAUGUAUUAAUUAUAUGUUAUUAUUGAUAUAUAAUUGGUAUAUAUGAAAAUAAUUAACUCGCUUGCAUCAAAUUGCUAACCUAUGCUCUCUUUAGGUUUUGCAGAUCGUUAUGAUGUGCCUUUAUUUUUUUUUUUUAAUAUUAUCUAAGUUGUUAUAAAAACACGCAUUUGAAUUGAUUUAUGAUAGUGUUAAGAGUAAAAAGAAAAUUAAGACAUUAUCAUACUUAUUUUAAUACCAAAUGCAAAUCUUUAAUAAUUGGUAUGUCUUGAAAACAAAAAUUAAAAAUGAUAAAAUGUGAUAAUUUUAAAAUAAUUAAAUUGUUGAGUUUCUUAUUCCCAAUCAUGUGUUAACACAACUUUUCUUGAUUGAUGAAGAGAAUUUUUAAAAUAUGUAAAGAUUAUUUAUUCUUUCUUCCAUUAUUAUUAAAUUGGAAUCAUGGUGUUGCAACUUCGAAUUGUCUCAUGAGUUGGUGAAGUCAAAUGAUUCGUACUUGAUUUCAACUUGGGUUACUAUUAAACUCUACGAUACCAACAUUACUAACUCUCGUAUUAAACUUGUUGUACCCCAUGGUUAAGAUGGACAUGAGUCGAUUUAUAUGCAUCAGUAUUUGUUGAAACUUUGAACUAUGUGACAACAUGUUAUAGUGUAUUUUUAUGUCUAGAUAUCCAAAAUGUUGACAUUAGUUAUCUUCACGAUUACUUUUACUACUCCAUGACUUCUACUAUUAUUCGACAUUUUUUUAUCUUAAUUAUUGUUUAUAAAGAUAAAUAUGUCAAUUUAUUAAUUUAAAAUCAAUUUUAAGUUAAAUGUAUUAAACAAUCUUUAUAUUUAAAGUAAAAAUUAAGUAAUAAAUUUUAAGUCAAUAAUUUAAAUAUAAUUUAACUUAAAGUUAACUUAAAUCAUUAAAUAAUAAAUAUUAAAUUUUUACCGAACACCUUUUCAUGUAAUAUUUGUUUGUUUUUUUUUACUUGAUUUUACUUAUUUUAUUUUCACCCUUAUUUUCAUUUUUUUUAUUUUGACUUUUGAUAAUGUCUUAUUUUGAUUUCAUUUUUUUUCAUUUGCAUUUAUUUUUUAUCUAUAUUUUAGCUUUCGUUUUAAACAUUCAUUUUCUCUAUUUUUAGUCUUUUAUUUUCAAACCCAUUUCUUUUAUUAUUAUUAUUGUUGUUGUUGUUGUUCAUUUUGCUAGUGCUAAAAGGUGAAAAUAAUUUUAGUGAUUAAUGUGAAUUUGAGAUCAUUUGCUAUGUUUGGUCACAGGAAAGUUUGAGGGAAAAUGUGAGAAAAAUAAAAUAGAAAGGAAAAGUAGAAGAAAAGAAAACGUGAAAGAAAAUAAAAAGUAGAUUGAAAGUUAAUAAAUCAUAUUCAUUUUAUACUUCAAACUCAUUUCACUUAUUUAACUAUUUUACAUAAAGAUUAAGUAAUUUAAAAAUAUGUAAGUUUUUCACUAAUUUUAAUUAUAUUCAACUUUUAAAUAUUUUUUUUAAUAAAACUAAACACGAGAAAAUAAUUUUCUUUAGCAUAUUUUUUAGUAUUUUUGGGAACCAAAUAUAGCCUUAAAAUUAGAAAGAAAAAAAAUAAACUAAAAAAAGAGAGUGAAUGAAGUUAAGAAGAGAAGGAGGUUGCAUGUGGCCUUAUUUGAUAACUGUUUAAACAGUUCUAAAAAAUAUAAUUGAAAAAUAAUUUUUUAGAAUAGUUUUUGAAAACUAUUAUUUGAUAUUUUAUAAAAUAAAAAUUUGUCUUUGAACUUAAAAUUUUUUUGACUUAUUUUUAAUAUUUUUAAAUAUAUUUUAAAAAUAAUUUUUACAUCUAGAUCUUUAUUUUUAAUCAUAAUACAUAUUUGUACAAUUAUUUUUUAAAAUAAUUUUAAAAAAACAAGUAAAAAAAAUUAAAAAAAUUCUCUAAAAAUGUUAUAUUUUUUAUUUUUGAUAACAAAAAAAAAAAAUUCUAAUUACUAAAUAUUUUUUAGUUUUUUUUUUAAAACAGUUGUCAAACAUUCACAUAACUUUGACUAUUCCCUUUUUGUUCAACAAGAGUGGCAGAAUUUCAGGGAUGGAAUGGAGAGCAAUUAUUUAUUUAUUUAUUUUUAAAAAAGGAUUGAAAGCAAGGAAAAGACUAAAGGCUUUGAAAAGUAAAAGAAAAUACAGAGGAAAGGUGGCAAAAAUUGGGUAUGAGAGGGCACAAAUGGUAAAUAAGGUCAUUGUCCCAUUGUACAUCUUUAUUUUAUAAUGAUAAUGAGAAGGUGAUAGACUCGCAUAUACCCAAAUAAAUCCAUAUAUGCACAUCUUUAUUCUAUAUUCUCUCUGAUCUAAAAUAAUAUCAUGUCACAUCCAAGUGUGAACACUCAUAAAAGUAAGAAUGGUCGUGCCAACUAGCAUUCACAUGGGUCUCUCUUUUUCUAGCCCUUUGAACAUUUUCUUUAAUGUAUCCAUCCUUGAUUCUCUCUUUAGGACCUUUGGACUUUUCUAAAGUGAUCCCCUAUGAUUUAUGCUAUGAAAAGACUAUUUUUACUUUUAUGGGUACUCACAUAAAUUUAUUGAAAAAAUAGGAAAAAGAUGUACAUUUAUAAUAUAAAUCAUGGUGAGACCAAUUCUUCUAGUUUAACUCUCCUAGUUAAGAUUUCGUUUCAAAGUAAUUUUGACUUAAAAAAAUGUUUUGAAAAAAAUGAGAUAUUUUGACAAAUUUUAGAAAACUUGGAAAAUUACUUAUAAUAUUUUAUGGAGAAAUACUAUUCUUUUAAAAAUACUUUUAGACAAAAUAUUUUUUUUAAAAAAUAUUAUAAAUAGAAAUACUGUUAAAUGUACUUGAAUAAUGCGUUUAACAGUAAUUUUAGAAAAUGUUUCUAAUUUUUUUAACACUUAAAUUAUAUAUAUAUUUUGUAAUAACUUUAUAUUUUGAUUUGUCAUUUUGAUUCUUUGAUAUUUGAAUAAUGUCAUAGUUAUGUGAUUUGUGCAAUUUUGUGAUUUAAACUUGAUUACAUUGCAUAUUUCUACAUGUUCAAUGUCCAUUAAUAUUGUAUCUAAAUUUAUAUUUUAAUUUAUUUAGGGUUUAUUUGAAAUGAAAUAUGGCUUAAAUUUUGAUAAAUGAUGGGAAAAUGAGAUGGUGGUAAGCUAUAUUGAUUUUGUUUUAUUUCUGAAUUGUUGUGUUUGUGUUGUAUGUGGUUGUUGGGAAGAAUACGGAAAAGAGAAGAAAAAUAUGAGUAUUGCAUGUGAAGGGAAUACAAUUUUUAGGAAUGUUCAAACAAUUUGUUGUUUAAUGUUGUUUAUAUGGGAUUCGAGAUGUUUUGUUGUUUAAUGUUGUUUAUCUGGGAUUCCAAAAUGAGUAAUUUGAGUGAUUUUUAUAGUUGUUAAUUGGUGAAUCUAAUGCAUGGGAAAAGAAUUCAUGUUUAGUCAUGAGUAGAUGAGUAUAAAUUUUAAAAAUGAUUGGGAUAAAAGUUUGAAUAAAUUUUUUAAUAAAAGUUUUGAAUUUGUAAUGAAUAAGGAUUGAAUUGAAGAAGAAAAUAAAACAAAUUUAGUAAAGUGGGCAUGAAUUUAUGUGGGAAUUAGGGAAAAUAGUAUUGGAGCCUUAGGUUCAAAAUUGAUGGUCACAACCACAAAUAUGAAAUUUGUUUUGUUUAUGUGUGUAGUGGUCAUAGUAAGGGUCUACCCUUAGAUGAAGGGGUUGGCCGUAAUUCAGUUAAUGACAUUUGGAUGAAAUUAUUGUUUUCGUAAGAGGUUGCAGUAAGUGAAUUAAAGGCUGACCCAUUUGUUUGGAGGUAGGCCCUUAGUUAUAAAUAUUGUUGUGGUUUAAUCUGGAUAGUAGGCAAAAUAAAGGCUGACCCAUUUGUUUGGAGGUCGGCCCUUGGUUGUAAACAUUGUUGUGGUUUAAUUUGGGCAGUGGGCAAAAUAAAGGUUGACCCAUUUUUUUGGAGGUCGGCCCUUGGUUGUAAACAUUAUUGUGGUAUAAGUUGGGCAGUAGGCAAAAUAAGGGUUGGCCCAAUUGUUUGGAGGUCGGCCCUUGGUUGUAACAUUGUUAUGGUUAAAUUUGGGCAGUGGGCAAAAUAAAGGUCGACCCAUUGUUUGAGGGGGUGGCCCGAAGAGAGUGAAAUUAGCACAAUUUGGCUUGAAGAGUUACCAAAACAAUGGUUAGCCUAUGAAUUGAGAGGUUCACUCCCUAAAUUAUAUAACAUAACAAAUUACUACGCAGUAAAAUAGAAUAAUUGCAUUGCUUAAUGUUAAGUAUACACUAUGCAUGUCUAUAUUUACAUCAUUAAUUGUAAACUAUGAAAUGUAAAUGAAGCUCGUUUGUAAAGUUUCAAAGAUAAAUGAUGUAUUAAUAUAUGAUGGUCAUAGGCAUGAUAAUAAGUUUUGUUAUAAGUAAGUUGGUUUAUGCAGUGUUAUUAAGAAAUUAGUUAAUUGUUUUAGCUUGACUAAAGGUUCAUGCUUCUAAACAGGGGCUGCACAUGAUCGAGUAGCAUUUAAAUGGAUCCAAAUAAUACAAUUUAUUGUUAUCUGCACAUUGGAGGAGAGCUAGUAAGGGAUGAACAUGGCAAUGUGGAAUAUAUGGGUGGGAGACGAGAGGGUCUAAGUUUAGAACGAUCAAUGACAUAUAAUGAUUUUGUUUCAAGGAUUUGUGGGAAAAUGAACAUCAAUAUAGUGGGACCAACAUUUUCAUAUACUCUCCCAUUUGAUUUAUAUGCACUUCAACCAUUGAAAAAUGAUGAAGACUUGACAAACAUGUUUCAAUUUAGUGACCGAUGUGCACGUGUAUAUAUAUGUUUAACAUCAACAGUUGAAGACGAUGAAAUGAUUGAGAAUGGAGGACAAGGGUAAGUUAUAUCAAAAAAAUAUGUAAUCUUAAAUGAUUCCAUGUAUUUAUUUAUUUUGUAAUAUUUAUGUUUAUUCAUUAGAUGUUAUAAUGCAGCUUGAACGAAACAAUCGUAGGGUCUAACUCGCCGGUCCCAUAUUCAACAAGAGAUGUUGAUAUUAGAAUGCAAUCACGAGGAUUUCAUCAAAGAUGUGCUAAAUCACAUGUUGGUCCACUAGAGUCAAGCCGUUUUGAGAGUGCAAUAUUGGGUAGUGGGCAUACCUUCUCAACUGCAAAUGAAUUUCGGGAUGCAAUAUAUCUCAUGUCAGUAGGAGGCCGUUUUAGAUAUAAGUUUAAGAGGAAUUGUCUUAAGCAUAUGACUGUAAUAUGUGUUGUUGAAGGAUGCCCUUGGAAAGUAACUGCUCAUGCUGUUGGGAGAACAAAAAUAGUUCAAGUGCAUACAUUUAGAAAUGAACAUAACCACUCUUUAGAAGAUGUGUCAAUUUCCGAACCAGUAGUUCAUUGUAAUCGAGCCACAACUAUGAUUGAUGAUGUUAUUCGUUCAAAUCCAGAUUACUUACCCCGUCAAAUAUGUAAAGACUUUCGUCGACAAUACGGAAUGCAAUUGAAUUAUUGUCAAGCAUGGAACUUGAAAGAGAAGGCUAAAGAACGAAUUCAUGGUGUGCCGCAAUGUUCAUAUAAGUUGUUACCUUGGUUAUGUACAAGGCUUAUUGAAACAAAUCCAGGGACGAUUGCUGAAUAUAGAUGUUCGGAUGAUGGUCAUUUUAUGCAAUUGUUUGUUGCCCUUUCAGUGUCAAUACAUGGGUUUCAACUGGGAUGUCGGCCUAUUAUAUCAAUAGAUUCAUCCCACAUGAGUGGGCCAUACAAGUGUGCUUUAUUUUCAGCUUCUUCCUAUGAUGUUGAUGAUGGCAUGUUUCCACUUGCUUAUGGCUUAUUUAGCUCUAAGAAUUACGAGGAUUGGCUUUGGUUUUUAGAGAAAUUGAAGAUGGUCAUAGGUGAAAGAGAUGUUAUAAUAAUAUCUAAUAGGCACCAAGGGAUUAUCCGUAGUGUUUCAGAGGUAUUUGGUAGUGAAAACCAUGCACAUUGCUAUCGUCGCAUUAAAGAAAACUUUAGUAGCUUUCUAACAAAGCUAAACACUAAAGGGAGGAAAGGAAAGGAAAAUGCUUUGCAAAUGCUUGAUUCUAUCGCCUAUGCUAGGUUAGAUUGUGAUUAUGAGGUUGCAAUGGAUACUUUAAGGACAUUUAAUCAUGAUUUGGUGAAGUGGGUUGAAGAAAAUAACCCUCAACAUUGGGCAAUCUCUAAAUUUAAGAAGAUGCAUUAGGAUAAGAUGACAAGUAAUUUGGCCGAGUCUUUUAAUUCUUGGUUAAGACAUGAACGACACCAUAACAUUUGUGUUUUCUUCAUCGAGCAUAUGGAUAAGUUAGGAUCUCUUUUAGCCGAGCAUAAAAAUGGACUUGUAAAAUGGAAUGGGUGUAUUGGUCCUAAAACAGAAGAAAAGAUUGCAUUGAACAUUGGAAAAGGUGAAAAUUAUAUCACUUAUUUACACUUGGGUAGUUCGAUGAAAGUAUCCAAUGGAAAAGCAUUCCUGGAAGUGGACUUAAUGGAGCGAACUUGCAUAUGUAAAGCAUGGCAAAUGUCUGGAAUCCCAUGUGAUCAUGCUUGUGCAGCUAUACGGCGAAUGGGGUUUGAUGUAUCUGAUUAUGUUGAUGACUGGUAUAAGUACAAUUUGCAAGAGAAGAUAUACUCUGGAAGCAUGCGUACUUUGGUAACGCAUGACAUGCCAAUGAUUGAUGAAGAUGGAACCGUUCGUGAUGCCUUGGGUCAUACUUAUCCCUUUCUUAAUCCUCCAACCACAAAGCGACCUCCUGGAAGACCUAGGAAACGUCGAAUCGAGUCUCAAUUCAUGUAAAAAAAAACAGUUCAUUGUUCUCGUUGUAAUCAGUCUGGGCAUAAUCGUGCGACAUGUAACAACCCAUUGCUGUAAGUUUUUUUUUUAUUAAACUUCAUAAUGUAAGAUCGACUUUAUAUUAGUAUGAAAUAGUUUGGUAAUCUUCGUUGUUGUUUCCUUGAUUAUAAGCAAUGAGUAAUUUAUUGGAUUUGAAGUGUUUGGUGUACAUAUAUUGUGAUUGUAUGUUGUUCUUCAAUAUUAUGGGAUAUGUUACAUGAUAAUGUAAUUGUAAUAGCAAAAUAUGUACCUUGGUCAUUAUUGUUCAAAGAUGGCAUUGAAGUGACAUAGAUUCAUAUGGCGUCCUUGGCAAAAAAACGAGAUUGUUAACUAGUGGGCAUAAUCGUGGCCAACCUUUACAUGUAGGGGCUGCUGCUUUUUGGCUGAUGACCCUUAAGCAUAUUAUUUAGUUUUGUGUGAAAUGGGCAGUAGCCAAAAUAAGGUUGUGCCUGUUAGAUCAUAGGCAACCCUAUCGUUUUUCAUCUUUAAAAUUGGUUUCGUAUUAUGUGAGGUGUCUGUAAAAGGGAGAUUGAACCAUUAACACCAUGGGAAGGCAUUCGAACAUUAGUUUAGUAUGUUAUGUGCAGAAGGCAAUCUAGGGGCGCACCUUCCAUUUGAAAGGCAUGCCUAUGUGUUAAUGAUAUUAUAUAACUAUGCUACAUGCAGAAGGCAAAGCAGGGGUGCACCCUUGGUUGCAUAGGUAUGCCCAUGGGUAUGAUAACUUUAUUGGGAAAUUCUAUAUGCAGUAUGCAAAGUAGGGGCACACCCUUGAUUUUAGGGGCAUGCCUAUUGCUAAAACCAUUAUAUUGGUAAGUUAUGUGUAGUAGUCAACCUAAGAGCAAAACCUUGAUGGAAGACACAUAAAUAUGUGUGAAAAACUUCUUUUUGUUAAGCUACUUGCAGUAGGAAAAAGAAAGACAUGACUCUCUGUCAGAGGCAUGCCUUUAGGAUGACUAGAGUUGAGGUGUGGGUUGGGCAGUAAGGCGAAUGGAGGCAUACUGAUAGCUUAAAGGUUGGCCCUUGAUGUUCAUAUGAAAUAAACGUUGGAAAUGAUUCCUUGUUGAUUCAAAAUCAUAGAUUUUUUCUAAAAAUUUAAUUAUUCAAUUUUUAAUUUAUUUUUUAUUAUCUUAAUUUUUAACUACUUUUUUUAUUUAGCUCAUUAAUAAUUUUUUUUAUUUAUCCGUUUACUUUUAUUUAAUUUCAAAAUUUUGUAUUUUUAAAUAUCACAAAAAUAGUUGUGCUGAGAAUAUGUUACAAUAUAACAAAAAAUAUAAUGAAGUCCUAAUAUUUUAUAACUAAAAAUUAAUUUGAUUAGAUAAAUGAUUAAUAAUUUUAAUUAUUUAAAUAAAUUAAUUUUAAUAGAAAAAUUGCCACCACAUAUUUGUAAUAAAUUUUUAGAAAUCAUAUCUCAAAUCAAAUAUUUGAUAUAAAUCAAUUUAGUUUUUAUUUAAAAUUUAAUAAAAUAUGUUUUAAUAAAAGUAUUUUUUAAUUUUAAAAUAAAUAACAUAAAUAUAUUAAAUGUAAUUAUGACCCAUCCAUGCUCAGAUGGGGGUCCUGGAAUCACUAGACUUGGAUGUACCAAAUUUAAUGAAGGAUGUACCAAAUUUUGUUAAAGAUGUACCAAGGGCUCCAAAGUGUGAUCCGAAGUGGGGAUCGACUCCAAAUCACUUUGUUAUGGGUUUCUAAAUAAAAUAGUGGCUCAUCCAUGGUCAGAAGGGGGUCCCGGAAUCACUAGGCUCGGAUGUACCAAAUUUAAUGAAGGAUGUACCAAAUUUUGUGAAGGAUGUACCAAGGGUCCAAAAAUGCAUUCCGUAGUGGGGAUCGACCCCCGAUCACUUUGUUAUGGGUUUCUUAAAGAAAUUACAGACCAUCCACGUUGAAAUGGGAGUCUCGGAAUCUGUCGGAUCGGAUGUACCAAAUUUAAUGAAGGAUGUACCAAAUUUUGUGAAGGAUGUACCAAAUUUUGUGAAUGAUGUACCAAGGGUCCAAAAAUGCUUUCCGAAGUGGGGAUCGGCCCCAAAUCACUUUUUUUUGGGUUUUUAAAUGAAAUAGUGGCUCAUCCACGGUCAGAAGAGGGUCCCAGAAUCAUUAGGAUCGGAUGUACCAAAUUUUGUGAAGGAUGUACCAAGGGUCCGAAAAUGCGUUCCGAAGUGGGGAUCGACCCCCAAUCACUUUGUUAUGGGUUUCUAAAUGAAAUUAUGGACCAUCCAUGUUGAAAUGGGGGUCUCGGAAUCUGUCGGAUCGGAUGUACCAAAUUUAAUGAAGGAUGUACCAAAUUUUGUGAAGGAUGUACCAAAUUUUGUAAUGAGUACCAAAUUGAUGUACCAAGGGUCCAAAAAUGCUUUCCGAAGUGGGGAUCGGCCCCAAAUCACUUUGUUAUGGGUUUUUAAAUGAAAUAGUGGCUCAUCCACGGUCAGAAGAGGGUCCCGGAAUCACUAGGAUCGGAUGUACCAAAUUUUGUGAAGGAUGUACCAAGGGUCCGAAAAUGCGUUCCGAAGUGGGGAUCGACCCCCAAUCACUUUGUUAUGGGUUUCUUAAAGAAAUUACAGACAUCCAUGUUGAAAUGGGGGUCUCGGAAUCUGUCGGAUCGGAUGUACCAAAUUUAAUGAAGGAUGUACCAAAUUUUGUGAAGGAUGUACCAAAUUUUGUGAAUGAUGUACCAAGGGUCCAAAAAUGCUUUCCGAAGCGGGGAUCGGCCCCAAAUCACUUUGUUAUGGGUUUUUAAAUGAAAUAGUGGCUCAUCCACGAUCAGAAGAGGGUCUCGGAAUCACUAGGAUCGGAUGUACCAAAUUUUGUGAAGGAUGUACCAAGGGUCCAAAAAUGCGUUCUGAAGUGGGGAUCGACCCCCAAUCACUUUGUUAUGGGUUUCUUAAAGAAAUUACAGACCAUCCAUGUUGAAAUGGGGGUCUCGGAAUCUGUCGGAUCGGAUGUACCAAAUUUAAUGAAGGAUGUACCAAAUUUUGUGAAUGAUGUAGCAAGGGUCCAAAAAUGCUUUCUGAAGUGGGGAUCGGCCCUAAAUCACUUUGUUAUGGGUUUUUAAAUUAAAUAGUGGCUCAUCCAUGGUCAGAAGAGGGUCCCGGAAUCACUAGGAUCGGAUGUACCAAAUUUUGUGAAGGAUGUACCAAGGGUCCGAAAAUGCGUUCCGAAGUGGGGAUCGACCCCCAAUCACUUUGUUAUGGGUUUCUAAAUGAAAUUAUGGACCAUCCAUGUGGAAAUGGGGGUCUCGGAAUCUGUCGGAUCGGAUGUACCAAAUUUAAUGAAGGAUGUACCAAAUUUUGUGAAGGAUGUACCAAAUUUUGUGAAUGAUGUACUAAGAGUCCAAAAAUGCUUUUCGAAGUGGGGAUCGGCCCCAAAUCACUUUGUUAUGGGGUUUUAAAUGAAAUAGUGGCUCAUCCACGGUCAGAAGAGGGUCCCGGAAUCACUAGGAUCGGAUGUACCAAAUUUUGUGCAUAUUGUGUGGCCUAGGGUGAAGGGGAUCCUCGUUUGAAAAGAACACACCAUCUUCUACGUUGGGUCUUUCUGACACCCCUUCAUUUGUACAUCCAACGUCAUCUUCAAAAGAUCUUCUUUGACCACCAGAAUGAACAGGUGAAUGUUGUGGAUUAUUUGUAUAAAAUGGUGCACCACUUUCAUUAACAUGUUCAUGAAAAUUUGACGGUUGGCCUUCAUCUGUGCGAUAGUGUGAAGAGGUGAAACGAGUCCUCAACACUUUCACGUCACGGUUGUAUGAUGCAAUAAGACUAUUAAGAUGACUUUGUGCAUCGGUGAUUUGACGUUGUGUUGCCUCCAUGCGAGCACAAAUAACCUAAGUCAAACAUAAUGAAGGAACAUUAAAUGACAUAUAUUUAAACUAAGCCUUAAUAUAAGUUACUAUUCAUAGUCAUUAGGUAUGAAGGAUUACAUCAAAGUCUUCAUUCUCAUCUGGGUCAACUGGGUCAUCAACUGCAGGAGCCUUAUUUUUUUCUGUUUCAUCUUGCUCCGCCGAUGUGCUAACCAACUAUCAUUGCAAAACAUGUAAAUUGUCAUCCCAAUAAUCUAAUUACAAUGGUAAUCAACUAUCUUAAUAUAACUAAAAGCUAAUUAUACCUCAACUUUGCCAAAUCCUCCAAGCAUUUCUAACUCCAACUUGAUGCAUUGCUUGACCAAAAAAUCAUUCCAUGCAGCAAUGCGAGGAGUGGUAAGUUCCACAUACAUGGCUGGAAAAUUAGAUAUUGAAAAGUAGAAUAUCUGAUGCAUUAUAUAAGACAUAAUUAGUGGUAACAUCAUGGCCAACAUAGUGUAUAACCAUUAUUGAAUAUCUAAUACAUGGACAUAUACUUAUAAAUAAGACAAAAAGUUACCUGUAGAAACAUCAAACACCCUUUAAUCCAAACACUUUCUUUCCUCCUAUGUUCAUGUAUAGCUUGAAUAAAAAAUUCUAAGACAUAUUCUCCCCAAUUUAUGUUCCCAAGUAACUGCUCUCGGGGUGUAUACCAUAACGAGUGACUACCUUCCAAACGAGAAGUGGGUGCCAAUAAGGUUGCACAAGCGAAAAUCAAGAAGACCCGUUUAAAUUCCUCCAUAUCAUCGAUGCCAACCAUCAUUGACUCUAUAUCUUGCAAACUCGGCAUUUGACUAGCUUUAACACUUCCCUUCUCAACAAUUAACUUUCUUCCACUAUGUGGAAUGCCCAUCGUCAUCCCAACAUCAUGACAUGUCAAAGAAACCUUCUUACCCACAAAUAACUCGAGUUGGGAAUAAGCAAGGUUUGUGUUUUUUAUCAACCAAAAACAUAAAUCUAAAUUAACCUCCUUACAACCUAAUUGCAAUAGCCCACCAAAACCAAGUUCUCAUAUUACAUCCUUCUUCACUUCUGAGAGCAAAUGGAUUCCAGAGAGGAAUCUACGGCCAGAACAACAACACCGUAUGUUCAUAUUAUCAUUGCAUUAAACAACCAUAAUUCAUUAAUAAAUUAAUAAAAUGUUAAAGACAUGUGAACGUGAAUAUAGUGUUCCUAUAUACAUUCAUCAUAAUUAUUACACAAAUAUAACAUAUAUUAACAAAGAAAUGGGAAACAUUUUGUUACAUCAUGUAAAUGAUAAUCAUUGAGAUCGGUUUCCUCUAGCCUUUCAAUAAUAUGGUUAUCAAUAAGGGUGAAAUUUUUAUAUAUAGGGUCACCCACUAUGAUACCCACUGCAAAAAAAAAACAGACAAUGUGCAUUUUAGUGGGUCAGCCAAUAAAAACAAAUGGUACGCCUUAAAGUUACAUACUCAUCUAACCAAAUCAAUAUAGUUUAGGGAAAAGUGGGAUUUGAUUCACUAAUAAGAAAAUAUAUGGUAAAAAGAAUCCCAAAUAUUUUAAAUUAGUAUUAUCUUCAUCUAUUUAAAAAUAAUUUGAAAUACAUGCAAUGAGUUAUCCAAUUAUUCCAAAAAAUGUCAUUUUAUUUUUUAUGUUAUUCAAAUCAAUUGACAACUAUACUCCUCCAUAUAAAUGUUUCCUUAUUAUUUUAGAUUUUUUUUUUUAUUAUUUUAUUAUUUUAGAUUUUUUUUCCUCUAGAAACAAACACCUUAUAGGAUUCUUAUUUUAGUUUUCUAAAAGUUUAGGAAAUAUUGUCAAACAAAUCAUAUUUAAUUAUAAUUACCAAUUCAAGAAGUAAUAAGAUUGUUUAUUAAAUAAUAAAGAAUAAACUUCGUAAUAUAUAAUUAUUUUAAUAUUAUAACAAAUUUAUUAUUGAAAAACUCUAAUAACAAAUUUUAUUCAUUAUUAUAUUAAACAAUUAUUAAUAUUAUAUAAUAAAUAGAAAUUUAUUAUUGGUUUAUUUAUUAUCAAGAAUACGAAUCUAUUUUUAACUUAUUAAUACUAUAAUAAAUUCUGUUUUUUUUUUCAAAUUAUUACUUUAUAAUGUUUUUAGAGAAAAAAAAUUUCCCAAAUAAUAAAAUAAUAAAGUAAUAAUAAUAAUAAUAAUAAUUUAAGAUUAUUGACAACUACACUCCUCCAUAUAAAUGUUUCCUUAUUAUUUUUAGAUUUUUAUUUUAUUUUAUUAUUUUAUUAUUUAAGAUUUUUUUUCCUCUAGAAACAAACAUCUUAUAGGAUUCUUAUUUUAGUUUUCUAAAAGUUUAGGAAAUAUUGUCAAACAAAUCAUAUUUAAUCAUAAUUACGAAUUCAAAAAGUAAUAAGAUUGUUUAUUAAAUAAUAAAGAAUAAACUUCGUAAUAUAUAAUUAUUUUAAUAUUAUAACAAAUUUAUUAUUGAAAAACUCUAAUAACAAAUUUUAUUCAUUAUUAUAUUAAACAAUUAUUAAUAUUAUAUAAUAAAUAGAAAUUUAUUAUUGGUUUAUUUAUUAUCAAGAAUACGAAUCUAUUUUUAACUUAUUAAUACUAUAAUAAAUUCUGUUUUUUUUUUUCAAAUUCUUACUUUAUAAUGUUUCUAGAGAAAAAAAAAUCCCAAAUAAUAAAAUAAUAAAAUAAUAAAGUAAUAAUAAUAAUAAAAUAUCUAAAAAGAAUGGAAAUAUUUGUACAAAGGAUUCUAAUUGUCAAUGGAUUAGGAUGACAUGACAAGUAAAGGGCUAUUUUUGGGAAUAAUUAAAUCAUAAAUUAAAAAGUGCAUGCAUUUUAAAUUAUUUUUAAAUAAAUGAAGAUAAUAUUGGAAUUUUCUUUGUCAACCAAUCAGUUUUGAGAAAAAAAAGUUCUUGUAACGGAUAAGCUCCAGGAGGUUAGUUUUUGUAUAUAUAUAUAUAUAUAUAUAUAUAUAUAUAUAUAUAUAUAUAUAUAUAUAUAUAUAUAUAUAUAUAUAUAUAUAUAUAUAUAUAUAUAUAUAUAUAUAUAUAUAUAUAUAUAUAUAUAUACAUAUAUGUNNNNNNNNNNNNNNNNNNNNNNNNNNNNNNNNNNNNNNNNNNNNNNNNNNNNNNNNNNNNNNNNNNNNNNNNNNNNNNNNNNNNNNNNNNNNNNNNNNNNUUUUGAGAAAAAAAAAUUUUUGUAUGAGAUAAGCUCCAGGGGGUGUGUUUUUGUAUAUAUAUAUAUAUAUAUAUAUAUAUAUAUAUAUAUAUAUAUAUAUAUAUAUAUAUAUAUAUAUAUAUAUAUAUAUAUAUAUAUAUAUAUAUAUAUAUAUAAUGUAUAUAUAUAACAGUUCAUGUAAAUUUUGAUUUUUUUGUAAAUUAAAAUAUAAUAUUUUUUUAUAUUGAUAAAUAAAAGCCAUAUUGUUUUAAAGUACUUUAUUCAACAAACAACAAGAUCAGUGGCCCCAACAUUGAUAUGGUUACAAAAAUAGCUAUAAAAGAAAAUAUGACAUAUCAAAAUCCAAUUCAAUAAAAAUCAUAGUCCUCAAACCUCUGUUUCACUCAUGGAAGAAAAUAUCGGUAAUCACAGAUAUAUCGGUAUUUCGAUUUUACGGAUAUAUCGGAUAUAUCGGAGAUAUAUCGGCGGAUAUUCUGGAAAAAAAAAUCGAUAGACUUAAAAUUGUUAAAAACUCAUGAAAAUACAAGAAAAACAUCAUAAUAAUAUAAUUAGAAGUAUAAUUGACAUUUUAAAGUUGUUUUAUUGAAAAAUUUGAUAUAUAUAUAUAUGAUAUAAUUUGCGAUAUUAGAUGUAAUUACAUCAUGUCGAUCUAUAAGAAAUGUUAAUUUUGUAAUUGUUCUCAUUAUAAAGUCACAUAAAAUAUUUUAUUUCAUUAAAUAUCAAUAAUUUGUACACAUUAAAUUCAUUAAAUAAACAUAUUUCAUAUUCAAAAUAUACUAUUUCAUGUUAAUUAAAUUAAUUAAAUAAUUUAGCUAAGUUAACUAGUUUAAUUUAAUUCUAAAUGUGAAAAUAAAUCACAAAUAAUCAUCUAAAAUAAACAUAUCAAUUUAUAAUUAAAUAAUCAAAUUAACCUAAGUUAAUUCAAUAAAAAUAUAAAAAUUAAUUACAAUUGAAUGUAAAAAUAACAUUAAAUCAUCCAUAUUACAAACAUACUAAUUAAAUAAUAUAAAAUAAAUAAUGAUAUAUAUAUAUAUAUAUAUAUAUAUAUAUAUAUAUAUAUAUAUAUAAUUUUUUAAUAUUUAAUUAAUUAUUAAUGAUAUUAAAAACAUUAUGAAGAAAAUUAUAUAAUUUUUAUAUUUUUGGUAAUUAAUUAAAAGACUUUGUAUUUAAUUAUAAAAUAAUUAUAAUUAAUUUGCUAUUUAAAAUAUUCUUAUAUUUUCUUUAUAUAAUGAAUUUAACUAUAUAUAUAGUUGUUGCUUAUUAUAUAUCAAAGGGCAACUUAGCCCAAGUGGUAAGCUGAUGAACCCCAAACCUUUUGGUUUGGGGUUCAAAUCCUCUCAGCAGCAAGAAAGGAAAUGGGAGGCACGGCACUGUAGCGCGUGCACUGUAGCGCGUUGACGGGGCACUGUAGCGGGUCUGACCCGCGUUGACCACGCGAUAUAUCGCGAGAAAUAGCCUAUUUAUCGCCAAAUCACCGAUAUAUCGCGAGAAAUAUCCGAUUUCUCGCGAGAAAUAUCAAAAUAUCGCCGGACCGAUAUUUCUCCAUGAAAUAUCGUGUCGAAACCCUUCGAUACACGAUAUUUCGGCGAUAUAUCGCCGAAAUAUCGCGAUAUUUUCCUCCAUGGUUUCACUAAAAGGUACGUAAUCCUACAAUUCACUUCAUAUGACCCAUGAAGUUAGCGCCAUCAAGAUGAAUUGUCAUAAUUGAAACAAAUCUACAUAAACAAAUAGAGACCAUUUCACAUUUUAAACUACAAUAUCCAUCAAACAACAACAAGACUAAUGUUUACAAAAUUAAUGAAGUUACAAAACUACUGAAAGAAAAGAGUAACCUACCAUUUAAAAAUUUUCUACAUUUGUAUUAAAAAUAUAUGGUAACAAAAUUUUCUAUUAACAUUAAUUUAUUUAAAUAAUUAAUAUUAUUAAUAAUUUAUCUUAUCAAAUUAAUUUUAAUUUAUAAAAUAUUACUGAUAAAAACUGAAAUUUUGAUUUAACCAAAAUAAAGAUGGAUAAUUAAUAAUUAUUUAUAAUUAAUAAUUAAUAAUUUUGAUUUAUAAUAUUGUUCUUGUGAUUUGUUUCCUUUUUAUUUCUAUACUAUAUCUAAAAAACAAACAUGCUCGUUGCCAUUCGUUGAGGCAUUAUGGGAAGGUGAAGGACCCAACGGUGGAGAAUUUGUUGUCGGAGUUUGAUUUUGAGCACACUGUUGGGAGGAGAUUGGUUUCAACCUUUGGAACUCGGUCUGUGGUUCUAAUGGUGGUUGAUGCUUCAAAUUUUGAUGGGUCCGGCCACCACGCGUGAGGCAUCAAGAAGCCCCUUUGUUGAAUUCUUCUCCAGGCAAGCAUCAUGCCUUAUUUUCCUCUGCCACUCUCAAUCCUCGCAGGUACUAAUCUAAUCAUGUUAUUAAUAUUUAUUUUCAACCCCAAUUUGCUUCCCAAGAAAAUCCAUCCCCCAUUCGAUUUCCGGGAAAAUUCAUCAUCGUUUGAUUUCCGAGAGAAAUCCAUCAAAACUCCCAAGGAAAACCAAAUAAAAAAUGCUUUUAUUUUGUUGCUCCCUGUGUUUUCUGGAUCUGUUCUAAGGUUUUAUUUGUUUUUGUGCCAUUGGAUUUAAAUUCUACAAACCCUAAAUCCACGAUUUUUGAGCCACGCUGAAAACCACAACCUUUGCCCUCAAAUUGUGGAUCUGUGUGCGUGUGCGGCGGGCUGGACUGGUAAGUGGAGUUCAAAUACACUAUUUCUUUAAAUUGAUUGCUUUUUUGCCAUUGGAUUUAAAUUCUACAAACCCUAAAUCCAUGAUUUUUUAGCCACGCUGAAAACCACAACCUUUGCCCUCAAAUUGUGGAUCUGUGUGCGUGUGUGAUAUUUUUAAAAAAUUACCCAAUCUUCUGUCAAAGAUCUCAACAAGCAUCAAUACCAACCCAAAUUAACUCGUAAAUCCAUUACAUUCGUACUUGGAAAAGCUCCUCUUAGCUCGGACCACUUCUCUCUAUUUUCACUGCAAGCUCCCCUCGCGAAUUGUGGCUGUGAAAGAAAGUGAAAAAAUAUGGGUUUUUGGAGUUAGGGUUUGGUUCAAGAGAGAAGAAGGGAUUUGGAGGGUUUGGUUCAAAGAGAGAAAAAGGGAUUUAGGGUUUUGAUUCAACACAGAAGAAAUGAUUUCGGGUAAAUCUCACUAUUAUAUUUUAGUAAAUAUUUUUAAAAAAAUAUUGCCACAUGGAGUGUCUACAUGUCAUAUGAGCCAUGUCACUGGCUUAAGUGGAACAUGACUUUGCUGAGUAAUUGAUUAUGUCAAAGUGUAUGAGGGUAUUUUUGGAAGGCUCCUCAAUAUCACUAUUACAGUGUAUGAAAGGUGGUUUAUUUUUCACAAAAUCCAUUGAAUUUGAAAAGUAAAAAGUUAAGUUUCCAAAAGGCAAAAUUUUGCCCCUUGGUGUAUGGUUACAUAAAUUCCCCAUAUUCUAAGAGUAAUCUCCCAACUAUUGCAUUAGAAUAUGUACUUGCUAAUCAAUCAAUCAAUCAAUGGUCAUUGUCCUUAAGGGUCUCCAAAAAGCUCGCGGCUCGCCGCCCGGCCCGACGGGCUAAAGCCCGGCCCAAGCCCGUUUAUGGGCGGGCUGGGCCGCGGGCCGGCCCGUAGGCUCGCCCUUAGGCUCGCCCCUUUAAAAAAAAAACUACAAAAAUAAAAAGUAUUAAAAAAAAUAUUCAUUUCAAAAUUUUAUUCAUUGAAUGUAUAAUUACAUUUAAAAAUGUGGGAAAAGUUUACAUCACUACAAAAUAAAUACAUCCCAACUAGGUUGGCACCUAUUUAUUUGUCAAUCAUCUGUAUUUUUCAAUCACAAAAAAUAAAAAUAAAAAUAUAAUAUACAUUUAGUCAUUAUUUUCUGGCGGUGAUGGCGAACUAUCAUGCAUCCAUGAAGAUCUUGAUAAUUUUAAAGAUUCCAUAUCGGCAAGCAUCUCUGUUUCUCGAAUGGAAUCGUACAUCCUUUUAUCUGCUAUUUCCCCAUCUUUCACACAUAUCCCUGCUUCAAUAACAUCUGGCGCUAAGUUGCAUCGUUUUUUACUAACUACUCUUCCACCUGCACUAAAAGCAGCUUCUGAUGCAACUGUACUCACAGGAACUGUUAGUACAUCAUGAGCAAUUAUAGAAAACACAGGAUAUUUGUGUUGAUGUGAUUUCCACCAUAUUAAAAUAUCAAAAUCUUCUUAAUCUUCAAAUGAAAUUAUAUCAGUAUUAAGAUAUUUAUCUAAAUCAGAUGUAUUAUUUGGAGAACUAUUUGUUGUCUUUUUUCGACUUUUUAACAUUUCUAGAGCUCCUUUGUAAAAAGAUGAGGAGUUUGUAGGUGGUAAUUUAAUAGUAUUAAUAUCAUUACCAUAUUUUUCUUUAUAAUAGUUAUAUAAAUUAUAUAAUAAUGAAUUUAUUUCAUUUUUAAUUUCUUCAAUUUUUAUUUGGUCAUUAAAAUAAAUAAUUGUUAACCAUUCAUCCAAAGCUUCAAAUUUCAAUCUAGGGUCUACAAUUAAAGCAAUAUAAAAAAUUAAAGGUAUUUCUCCCCAAUAUUUUCUAAAUUUUUCUAUCAUUGCAAAUAUUGUAUCAUUAAACAUUUCAAAACUUAAAUAUUUUUGAAGUACAAUAAAAAUAUUAGUUAUUUGCAUAAUAACUCGAUUUGAAGUUGGAUAAUAUACACCACAAAAAAUGUUUGUUGAAGUAUCAAAAAUUUCAAAAAGAUCUCUUAAAAGAUCCGCAAUAUGCCAAUCAUAAUCAUUUAAUGCAUAAAUAUCUGCUUCACAAUCAUUGUUAAUUAAUUGUAUUUCAUAUAAUUCGACUACUUUUCUAUAUUUUGUAAAAGUUUAUAUGUGGAAUUCCAUCUAAUGGCCAUAUCCAAAUUUAUAUUUUUUCUUUUCAUAUUUAACAUUUUGCAACAAUAAAAAAAUAAUUCAUGUUUUGCUUGAGAACUAUUAAUACUAUAUGCAAUGCCUCUAAUUUUUUCCAAUGUACUAUCAACAUUUUUUAAUCCAUCCUUUACAAUUAAAUUUAAAAUAUGUGCACAACAACGCACAUGAAAUAUUUUAGCAUGAUCUUCUUUUACUUGCCAAUAUAGUUUUAGUCUAUGUAUUGCUGUAUCAUUAUUAGCAGCAUUAUCUAAUGUUAUUGUCAAUAUUUUAUCACGAAUGCCUAAAUCUAUAAUUUCAUCAUUUAUUAAAGCUGCUAUAUUUUUACCACUAUGUGGAGCAUUUAUUAAUUUAAAUGAAAUUAUUCUUUUAUUUAAUUUCCAUUCAUUAUCAAUGUAGUGAGCAGUUAUACAUAAAAAACUAGUGUGAGUUAAAGAUGUCCAAAUAUCAGAUGUUAAACAAAUAUUUCCUUCAAAAUUUGCAAAAAAAAAAUUUUAAAUUUCUUUUUGUGUAUAAAUUUUUUUCAUAAUAUCUCUUUUAACUAUAUUUCCAGACCAACUUUUAAAUUGAGGAUUAAUACCUCGUUGAAUUGUUCCUACAAAAUCAUGAGUUUCCAUCAUGUUGAAAGGUUGUUCUGCUCUUAUUAUAUAAUCAAUCAUUUCUUCACGACAGUUAGAUUCAUCAUAAGAAAAUGUUUUUAAAUUUUCACUUUCAUUUUUACCUAAUUGCAUAUAAUUUCUAAUAUCUACAUUAUUUUUAGUUUUACAAUUUUCGUGAUGUCUUUUUAAAUGACUUGUGCCUGCAUUUGAGCCACCAGUAAGAAAUUUAUUACAAAUUUUACAUUUUGCUUUUAUUUCUUUUUUAUUAUUUUCUAAAAUUAUUUCUAUUCUAUCAAAAAAAUUCCAUAUAUUUGAAGUAAAUUUUUUGUUUGAUGAUAUUUCAUCACAUGGACUAUAUGAAGAAGCACUUGCCAUAUUAUAAUUAUUGAUAAAAUAUUAUGCCAAAAAUAAUAAAGUAAUAAAUAUAAAAAAAAAUGUAACAAAAAAAUAAAGUAGUAGGGGUGAAGUAUGUUACUCAAUUAGAGAACCGAUGCAGAAAUUCCUAGCAAAUUUGAACUCUUGGAGCCACCAAUGCUUGUUUUGCACCACCAACAAUAUUGUAUAAUUUGAGGAAAAAAUAAAAGAAUUUGAAAUAUUGUAGAAUGUGAGAGAAAUAGAGAGAGAAAUAGAGAGAAUUUGAUGAAAAAAUGAAAAGGAAGAAAAUGUAUUUAUAGGAAGGUUUAAAAAAAAAAAAAAAAAAUUGGUCAUGUGACCGUUGGAGGCUUAGCCCCAACGGUCACAUGACUCACAUGGGCAGCUGGGCUGGAGCUCCAACGGUCACAUGACCGUUGGAGCCUUUAAUUUUUUUAAAAAAAUAAUAUACUUUAUUUUUAUAUAUAUAUAUAACUAACUCAAUUAAUAAGCACAAAAGGAAUGUAGCUCAGUUGGUUAGAGCCUUGAAAUUUAAGCAUGAGGGGAGGGGUUCGAAUCCCCCCCUCUCCCUUCCUUUUUUUAAAAGCCAUUUUGGCUUAUUUAAAAAAGCCCACGGCCCGCCCCGCCCAGCCCGCCCCUCAGCCCGCCAGCCCGCUAACCCGCGGGCUCAUAGGCCGGGCCGCGGGCCUAACAUUUUUGUAUGGCCCGGCCCGGCCAGGCCUGUUGAUUGGGCCCGGCCCGAGCUGGGCCGCGGGCCUCCUAUUUACGGCCCGCCCGUUGGAGACCCUUAAUUGUCCUUAUGACUUGAGAGCAUGGGAUUGCGCCAUUUUUUUUUUUUUUUACCGACAAGUAGUAAUUGGAAGACAAAAAUUGUUGUAUUUGAUAAAGUCAAUAUCAAUAUGUUGGAGCUUAACAUGUAGGUCUUGUUGUUGUAAAUUCAACUUUUGAUUUCUUCAGGGUUAACUCCAUACCAUUUCAAAUUAGAUGUUUUCUGAGGUAUGCAUGCAUAGAAGGUUCGUAAACCUUAAGGAUUAGCUAACACAACACAUUAGAAUGAAAAUGAUGGAGUGAAGGUCUGAAAAAUGCAACACCCUCCUAGUUGAAGUGCUUGUCCUUGGGCAUUCAAACAUUUAGAGAUUUCUUUGCUACUUUCUAUUUCAUUUCUAACUUUAAAAAUUUGAUUUUGAAAUAUUUUUAAAGUAGAAAUCCUCCAUAAUUAAUUUCUAAAGUAUUUUAAGCAUACAUAAGCAUGUUUUAUUGAAAAUUUGUGAGCAUCUAAAUCUCACAAGAGGAUAGUCAUUAUGGAUGUUUGAGCCUCUAUCUUUCAAUUUUUUUCAAGAUAUUUCUUAAAAGAACUUUCAAAUUUGUUUACUACAAUAAAGAUCAAGGACUCACAUUACUUAAAUUUAAUUUAUUAAGGGUUUCAAACAAUCUAAUAACAGGCAUAAGAAAGUAUUACAUUGAGACAUAGAAAGAAAAGUGAUGGUAUUGAUGAUAUUAUACCUUAAAAAAUAAGUAUAUCAAAUCAAGCUAAAUGAUAUUUUUUUUUUCUUAUAUUUAAUUGAUAACUUGGUGAUCAAGAGAUGAUCCAUGAUCUUUAACCUAGGGGUUCUAGGCAGUUUUUCAUUUUUAUUCUAUAUAUUCUUACAAUUAUUUAGAAAAAGGAUUACUUGCUCGAAAAAGAUUGAAUAUUUUUUGUGUAAUUUCCUAACAACCAAACAUGCUAAUAUUGGCAUUAAUUUUGGUUGACUUUCUUUUGGUAAGAAUAAGACAAAUAACUAAAGAAAGUGCUACGAGAUAUUUGUACACUUUAGGUUCCCUAGGAAGUAUAAGAAAGAUUAGUGAUUUUUUGUUUGUUCGAUUAGUUGGUUGAUUGGAGUUUCGUGUUUUGUUGUUUAUUUGGGAAUUGAUAGGACAUGACCUUUUAAAGAAAAUGAUUCUUUAACAUGAGCACAAUGAACAGUUUUGUCCUUUGCAACAGUAAGUGAGUAUAGAAAUAAAAUGAAAAGAUUUGUACUUUAUAUGAGUUGUUCUUUGGGAAUACUACCUACAUUUGACCUCGAUAAUAAAAUGAUAUGUAAAGUGCAUGUCAUUAAAAAAUUUAUAAAAAUUUAUCAAACUAUAUAACCUAUUGGUGAGAAAUAAUCACAUGCAUUUUAUACGUAUCUAAAUAUCAUAAUUUUUUUAAUAAUUUAUUAUUAAAUAUCAAAUAUAAUUUGUUAUUUAAUGAACUAUCUAACUCUACAUAAAAAUAAUAAAAAAUCUUAAUUUUUUAAUUGUAUUUUUAAUUUUUUUAAUUUUUAAUUUUAUUAAUCUCAAAUUAAUUCUCAUAUUAAAUUAAUUUAUAUUAUUAAUAUAUAAAAGGGUCAUUUUAGGAAAUAAUUAUUUGAAUCAUGAAAAAAUAUAUAUUUUAAAAUAUUUUAAAUGAGUGAGGAUAAAUAUGAUUUAUAAAAGUUUGAGAUAUUUUUUUAUACUUUUUUGUUUUAAAUUGGUAAGUGAAAACCCACUUUUUCCAAAAAUAAUUAUAUAAACAUGUAGAAUAAAACACUACNNNNNNNNNNNNNNNNNNNNNNNNNNNNNNNNNNNNNNNNNNNNNNNNNNNNNNNNNNNNNNNNNNNNNNNNNNNNNNNNNNNNNNNNNNNNNNNNNNNNUCUAUCAACUCAAAGCUUUACUUAGAGUUAGGGAUGAAGAUAGGCGGGCUCACCCGAUCUAAUUUGAACCCAAUUGGAUAUUUGAACGAAUUUAAACAAUCAUUUUUAAUAAUCAGGUUGGGUUGAGUUAGGCUUUUUUCAACCUGAACUUAAUUUGGAUUGAGUUCGGAUUAAGGUUUAGACAACUAGAGUUUAACUUGAAUCCGAUUUAAUGUUUUUAUAAUAUUUAUAACACAUUUUAUUCUAUAUAAUAAUAUAAGUUUUCUUUUUCUAUUUUUAUGAAAAAUAUCAAAUUAUAUUAGAUACUAUGGUUUUUAUUAUUUUUAGAAAAUAUAUAAAUUUAUGCUUAUUCUUUUAUUGCUAUCUUGAAAUUUUGUCCUAUUUGUUAUUAAAAUUUUCAUAUAAAUACAUUAAGAUAAUAUUAUACAUAGAUUUUGAAUUAUGCAACAUGACCAAUUCAAGUAUAACUUGAUCAAUCUGAAUUUAACUUAAACAACCCAAACUCAAUCUAAGUUUAGAAAAAUUAGAUUGGAUUCAACUUGAUUUAAGUACAUUGGGUUAGAGUUCAAGUUGGGUUGAGUUCAAAUUGAUUAUUUCUUAAUUCAAUUUAGGUUUAGGUUAAUCUUCAACUCGAUCAAAUCACCCAAUUUACAACCCUAGAUAGAGUACCAACUUUCGAAUCAUACUUUAAUAAACCCAAAAGCCUAAUUAAGAGUAAAAAAAAGCUACCUAAAAGCAAAUCAACUUGAAUUUUUAUCGAAAAAACAAUAUCAGUAAUACAUUUAAGUUAUGUUUGGUUUUCAAAAAAUGAAGGAAAAUAAAAAAUAGGAUUAAAGUUAAUAAAUUAUUUUUAUAUGCUAGCUUCUUCAAAUUCAUUUAACUUAUUUCUCUCAAUUACCUGAAGAUUAAAUAAUUUUUAAAUAUAUAAAUUUCUAAUGAAUUGUAAUUAUAAUUAAGCUAGGAGAGAUUUACAUUUGAAAAAGUACCAACAUCUUUAACCUAUCUGAGUCAUCUAAGAUAUGUCGAUAUUUCUUAUAAUAAAUAUGAGGUACUUCUUAAUGCAAUUACAAAGCUAAAGCAUUUACAGACAUUGAAACUUUUUCAAUGUUUGUAUCUUAAAGAAUUGCCAAAAAAUAUAAACAAUUGGACAAACUGGAGGCAUCUUGAGAUUGAUGGGAAUAGUGGAUUGACUUUUAUGCCAUGUGGGUUAGGAGAAUUGACUAUGCUUCAGACUCUACCAUUGUUCUUUGUUGGGAAUAACAACAUGAAUUCUAGUGAUAAGAGAAUUGGUCGGUUGAAUGAAUUAAAAUGCAUUAACAACCUCAGAGGAGAAUUGUAAAUUGCACGACUUUCAAAUAUGAGGGGUGGUUGUGAACGUUUGCAAAAAAAAAAAAAAAAACCACCACACAUUAUCGUGGUGAGUGUUUUUUUCUAUAUAUUGUCAUUUACAAAGUACAUAAAAAUAGAAAAAAUAAAUAUGUACAAGAGAAUAGCCUAGAAUUAAGGACAAGAUAUUGAGCCGAAUAUUAAGGUAGCUAAUUAAAGUAACGUAUCCUUGACACCCCCCCCCCCCCCACAAGUUGAGCGUCGGAUUUGAAUAGACAUGAAGCUUGGUACGAAAGAAGUCAAAGAAAGGGCGAGAAACACUUUCGGUGAAGAGGUCGGAAACCUGUAGAUGAGAGGGCACAUAUUGAGUGCGAAGUUUACCAACAACAAGAAGUUCCCGAAGAAAAUGAUAGUCUAAUUCAACAUGCUUAGCCAGUUUGUGGGAAACGGGGUUGGACCUUAAGAAAAUCGCACUUUUGUUGUCACACGGGAGAAUAGGCUUCGGUGUAAUGGGAACCUUAAGAUCAUGAAGUAGAUGGGCGAGCCAAAGGAGUUCAGCUGCAGUAGUGGCAAAGGUACGAUGCUCAGAUUCACAACUAGAACGAGAGACAGUGGGUUGCUUUUUAGCACUCCAAGAAACCAGAUUAUUGCCAAGAUAAAUAGAGUAGCCAAAGGUGGAAUAGGGAGUAUUGGGACAACCGGCCCAAUCAGCAUCAGAGUAAGCAACUAGGGCACUAGGAGCACCAAAAGGGCGAAAAGUAAGACCAAAGUGAAGUGUGCCCUUGACAUAACGUAAGAUGCCCUUGACCGCAAGAAAGUGAUCCUCAGUAGGGGCAUGUAGAAACUGACUAACAGAGUUGACAACAUGAGCAAUGUCAGGGCGAGUGAUGGUUAAGUAUUGAAGGGCACCAACUAGGGAUCGAUAAAGAGUGGGGUCUGAGAAGGCAGUACCAUCACUAGUUAGAUGCUGAGAGACAACCAUAGGAGUGUGAAUAGGCUUGCUGUUAAAUAACUGGGCACAAGUCAGAAUAUCCCAGUCAUGUUUCAGCUGAUUGAUAAAAAGACCAUCAGUAGUGGAAGUGGCUUCCAAACCAAGAAAGUAGCUGAGAGAGCCCAAAUCCUUGGUGGCAAACUCAGAAUUGAGCUUGUGAGCAAAGCUAUCAAGAAGAGAAGAGUUAUUGCCAGUAAUGAUAAUAUCAUCAACAUACAAGAGCAAAUAAAUAAUGUCAGACUAUUGAUGAAAGACAAAAAGAGAGGUGUCUGCACGGUUGCAAGAAAACCCAAGGGUGAGAAGAAAAGAGCUGAAACGUUGAAACCAGGCACGAGGAGCUCUUUUGAGGCCAUAGAGAGCUUUCUUCAAUUGACAGACAUGAUUCGGGUACCGGGGAUCAAUGUACCUAAGAGGUUGUUCCAUAUAACAUUUUCAAUGAGAGUGCCAUUGAGGAAUGCAUUCUUCACAUCAAGUUGGCGAAGAGGCCAUUUGUUGGUAAUAGCAAGAGAGAGCACAACAUGAACAAUAGUAACCUUAAUAACAGGAUUGAAAGUGUUAGUAUAAUCAAGACCAGGUACCUGAGUAUAGCCUUUGGCCACAAGACGAGCCUUGAGGUGCUCAAUAGACCCAUCAGGCAAAUAUUUGGUCCAGAACACCCAUUUGGAACCAACAAUAUUUGUGUGGGCAGGUCAAAGAACUAGAACCUAGGUGCGAUUAUGUUGCAGAGCUUGAACUUCUUCAUCCAUGGCAACAAGCCAUGCAGGAUUCUUAGUAGCAGACUUGAAUCAUUUAGGCUCGGUGGAGGCAAGAAGAGUAGAGAGAAGCCCAAAUGAGCUUAAGACAUUGAGAUUCGUCGGAUGACGGGUCUUGAAAAUGCCAGCUUUAGCUCGAGUAAGCAUGGGAUGAGAACCCAACGGAAGAGCUAGAGCAAGAGCAACAUCAGAAGCAACAGGAGGUGGACGAGGCUUCAGAGACGGGGAAGAUGGACCUACAAGAAAGUCAGUAACUUGCAAAGACUUGUCCAUUGGGUUAGUACAAAUAACACACGGGUUAGAUUCGGACGGUGUAAUGGAGGGAGAAUGGUGUAGAGGAGACAUCGGAGGGGGGUCAACAUGAGGCAUGCUUGGUUAAAGGAAAUUCGAAAAAUGGAGAGAAGAAGGGGGUUGGGCUUGGGAGCCAUUUAUGGAGGGAAAGUGGUGUUUAUCAAAUUGAGCAUGACGGAUGAUAUAAAGCUUAGAGGUGGUGGGAUCAAGACAACGAAAACCUUUGUGGGAAGGGCUAUACCUUAGAAAGAUGGAAAGAAUGCUGUGAGGGGAAAAUUUUUUAGACAUAUAAUCACGCAGACAAAGAUAAACAGGACAACCGAAAUGAUGAAAAUUCUCAUAAUUAGGUUAUGAACCAUAGAGAAGCUCAAAUGGAGACAUACCUCCGAGAAACAGUGUGGGCAAAAGGUUGAUGAUGUAGGUUGUAGUGCUGAAGGCAUCAACCCAAAAGCAAGGAGAAAUAUGAGAAUGGAAAAGGAGGGUCAGACCGGUUUCUGUCACAUGUUGGUGUUUUCUUUCAGCACGACCAUUUUGGGUGGGGGUAUAGGGGCAAGAGAGUUGAUGAUGAAUACCCGAGUUGCUAAGGUGGGCUUUGAAGUGAUUGCUUGUAAACUCAGCACCACCAUCACUUUGAAAAAUUUUGAUGCGAGUAGAAUGUUGGUUUUCAACAAGAUUUUGAAAGUGAAUAAAAAUGUCAUAAAAUUCAAAUUUUUAUUUCAAAGGGUAAAGCCAAGUAAAGCGGGAAUAAUCAUCAAUGAAUAGCACAUAAUAAAUAAAUCCCGAAGUUGACUUAACGGGGGAAGGACCCCAAAUAUCGUAAUGAAUAAGAUCCAACACAUGAGACAAGCGACGUUCAUUACGAGAAUAAGGCAAGCAAUGAUUUUUUGCAAUUUGACACGUCACAUAAUGAAAGAGAAGGCAACAAUGAGGUAAGAUAAAGAUGGUCAUUUUUAUUUAAUAAAGAAAUAAUUGCUAACAUGUCCAAGACGAGCAUGCCAUAAAUCAUACAAGGCAUGAAGAGCCUUAUUUUUAAGAACAAAAAUGAAAGAGGAAUUGUCGUGCUCCAGCACAUAUAGACCACCAUAUCUUUUACCGGUUGCCACCACCCUUCCCGUUUGACGAUUCUGGAUAGAAAAAAGUUAUUAGUAAAUGUAAUAGCAAGAGGAGGAAAACCGGAUGUUAAUUUACUAAUUGACAAGAGAUUUUUCGUUAAGCGAGGAACAACUAAUACAUCCAAUAACUCAAUAGAUGGGGUAGAAGAGAUGGUACCGGUGUGGGUAAUGGGAAGGGAAGCACCAUUCCCGACAACUACACGAUCCUUACCCGUGUAAUUACUUGCUCGAUCCAAGUGGGAGAGGUCUGGUGUCAUGUGGGCUGAAGCCCUUGUGUCCAGGUACCAGUCACUGGGCUUGGGCCUAUUAAGAGAGCAAGAGGCCUUAAAGGCCUUAAAGGCCUCGACAAGGUUGGUUGUGGUGCCAAUAGGUUCUCCACCUUGUGCAUACCGCUGGUUUCACUUAUCAGCGUAGUGCCCUUCCUGGCGACAGAUCUGGCAGCGUGGCGGACGGUGGCCCUGCUCGGAGUUGGAACGACCAUUAUCACGGUGGGAAGAUGAGUGGCGACCUGAUUGAUGACGAGACUGGUUUAUGAAAGCUGAGCGAGGUUGACCGUGAUUGGUGGCUAUGAAAGCAGCUGUGGGUGGGCCAUGAUUGUCAACGGAUUUAUGGAAAAGCUUAAAGCUUUCAGCCUUGGAGACCAAAUCAGGAAAGGAGAGUAGUGGCGUUUGAGCCAUUUGGGCGGGUGGAAAAGCUUGUGAAAUUUGAACCAAGGCUACGAAGGAACCAAUGGACUUUAUCAGUGCCGUCGACUUGUCUUCCAAUCGUGUGGAGUUGAGCACAAAGGGCUUUGAAUGCCCGAGUAUAUUCGGUUACCAAUCGCGUCCCAUGUCUCAUCAAUUGAAAGUCAUCCUUGAGCCGAAUUUCUCUGGCUUUUGAUCAGUGACUGAAUGUAUUUUCGAGUGCUAACCAGACCUCGCAUGAGGUGGAGAGGCCCACGACCUUGGCCAUGGCUUCCUCCGUGAGGGAGGAGAGCAAAAGACUCAAGAGGCGCUGGUCAGUAUUUUUCCACGCCAAGUGCUUGAUGUUUGGUGUCCGAGAGUCAACAGGAGCAAACCGUGGAGGAGAUGCAAGAGUUCCAUCCACAUGGCCGAGAAGUUCUUGGCUUUCAAGGAGAGGAAGAAGUUGGCUCUUCCAUAUGAGAUAAUUGGAGGAGGAGAGUUUGAUGGUCACCAUGUGAAUCAUGGUGUUGAAAGGGAGAAUGGUGGGGGAGGUGUUUUUGAUAGCCAUUGAAGCAAGGGGGAUCGAUGGAGGCUAGUCCGAGAGGGCUCUGAUACCAUGUGAACGUUUUCAAAAAGAAAAAAACCACCACACAUUAUUGUGGUGAGUGCUUCUUCUACAUAUUGCCAUUUACAAAGUACAUAAAAAUAGAAAGAAUAAAUAUGUACAAGAGAAUAGCUUAUAAUUAAGGACAAGACAUUGAGCCGAAUAUUAAGGUAGCUAAUUAAGGUAAUGUAUCCUUGACAGUGGUGCAUUAGAUUCCAAGGAAGCAAAUUUGAAAGGAAAACAGUGCUUUCAUUCCUUGAGAUUAUAUUGGUUGGAGCCAAUAGAAUGGAUGAUAUGGGACUUUGAACCAGAAAGGAACAACGUUGAGGAGGCUGAGUCGGUGACCCAAGUCUAAAGGAGCUCUACAUUAAGGAUUAUAUUGGUGAGAGGUUCCCAAGUUGGAUGAUGAAUGAUGGGUUUGGUUCAUUGCUCCCAAAUCUAGUGAAAAUUAUGAUGAAGAGGUGUAAAAGAUUCAGAGUUUUGCCACUGUUCGGUCAACUCCCUUCUCUUCAGUAUCUGGAGCUUGAGUGUUGUAUGGAGAACAUGAAGAGCUACUCAUCAUCAGCAACACCAUUCUUCCCAUCCCUGAAGACACUUCGACUUGAAAGGUUGCCUCAUUUGAUGGAAUGGGGAAAGAGGGACGUAGCAACAGAGCAAGCUCCUUCAGUUCCUUGUCUUUCCAAACUAAAGAUCAAAGUUUGCUGGCUGGCCCUAAAUUGAUGUCCUUGGCAUUGCCUUCAUCUCCUUCUAGUCUUUCUAUUCUAGAUAUCAAAGAAUGCAAUAACUUGGCAUCCUUGGCACUACCAUCAUCUGCUUUUCUUUAUGAUUUCUCAAUUAGACAUCAGUUCUUGCAAUAACUUGACAUCAUCGACACUUUCUUCAUUUCCUUGUCUUUCUCAAUUACAUAUCAAUUUUUGCCAGAACUUGAAAUCAUUACCAUUGUCUUUGUUCCUUGUAUUUCGAAAUUGCACAUCAGAUCUUGCCAUAAAUUUUUGCAAUAAAUUACUGUUUUUUGAGGAUUUGUUUUGGAAAUAAAUUACUUUUUAGGAUUUUUGCAAUAUUUUUUAGUUGUUUUAAAUUGUUUUCACUUGUUUUUUAUGAUUUGUUUUAAAAAAUAAUGGAAAAAACAAGCUUUGAUUCACUAAUUUGAAAAAAUAUAAAAAAAAUGACUUCCACUUUUAUAAAUCAGUUUCAUCUUUAUUCAUUUAAAAAUAUUUUUAAAUAUAUGUAUUUUUUAUAACUCAAAUUAUUGUUUUCUGAAAUACUCUUUUACUUGAUAAUAUUAAAUAAAAUUAUUUAAAAUUAUAUUAUAAUUUUUUUAUUGUAUAACAUAAGAUAUAAAUUAUUGUGGAAAAAUCAUAUAGGAUUCUUAAGUAAUAAAUAAAAUCUUUAUAAUCCCUUAAUCAAUAAUGAUUUUAUAUCGUGAAUUAUGUAAAUCCCAUCAUUUUCUCAUUUAUCUAAUAAAAUUAAAUACAAAUUUUGUUAGUUGACAUCAACAAUAAAAUAAAAAAUUUUAAAAAUUAAAAAUACAAUUAAAACUAAAAUACAUAAAGAUUAAAUACAAUUUAAAACAAUAAAAACUAAAAAAUUAAAAUAAAAAUAUUUACUCCCAUUGUAUUUUUAACUAUUUCUUGAUAUUUAUAUUUUCUAUUAGAAUGUUUUAAUUAAGUGAAAGUUAAUAUUUUAUUUUUAUAUUUUUAGCUUUAAAGUCUUUUUUGUUUUAAUUGUAUUUUUAAUUUUCUUAAUUUUUUAUUUUAUUAAUCUCAAAUCAAUUCUCACUUUAUAUUAAUUUGUAUUAUUAACAUAUAAAAGGGUCAAUUUAGGAAAUAAUUAUUUGAGUUAUAAAAAAGUGUACAUAUUUUAAAAUAUUUUAAAUGAGUGAAGAUAAAUUUGAUUUAUAAAAGCUUGAAUUCUUUUUUCUAUAUAUAUAUAUAUAUAUUUUUUUUUUAAAUUAGCCAAUAAAAACCCAUUUUUUCUAAAAAUAAUUAUAUAAACACGUAGAAUAAAACACUACACAUAAAAAUUAUUUUUAAAAAUAAUAAAAAUAUGUUAAAGAUAAUUUAUGUCUUUAAACAAACCUUUUCUUUACAAAAUAUAAAAGAAUAAUUUUUUAAAACUGCUAUUUAAAACUAUUUUUGAUUCAAAAACGUACAAUUUCUAAACAUAGCCUAUGUUUUUGUCUUCUUUUCUUUUUAUCACCUUGUUCUUUACUUUGUUUUCUUAUACUCUGCACAAGGCUCUUUAGUUUCCUCCACAACACUCCUACCAACUGCCACCACCUUCUUUGACAGGCCAUACAUAGCUUAAUGUUUUAAAAAAUGAAGAUAAAAAGGAAAUCAUUAAUUGGAUGUCAACCUAAUGCAACCAUUAUAUUUAAAUUGAAUUGUUUUGUAGUUGGUCGGUGUAGACCCCUUUUAAUAGGCCACCCCCGGGAGGAGUAAAAUUUUCGUUUUUUUUAGGGGUGGGGGACGACUACCAAUGGCACAUGAAGACGCAUGGCGAAGCGCGUCACCAACUCACCAUGGUGGUGGUUGGGAUGGCGACCUGGCUGAGCGGUGAAUAAGGGAGCAGAUAAUGGCUUGGUUGGGAAGAAAACCGGAUGGGGGGCCAAGUCUAGAGGGUAAAGAACAAAAAAAUGAGUUUUGGGUGGAGAUACUGGAGGAUGCUGGGUUGGUUGGGGGAGUCUAGGGUUCUAGGGAAAAAGAAUUCUCUGGCCAGGCGAGAGCUGUGAAGGAGCUCUCAGGUAAGUUUACAGGGUAUCUCUCGUUCAUAUUCACUAUCACAGUUCUUUCAUUUUUUCCUCUUGCUAUUUGGGGUUCCGUUUGUUUGUUUGGAUAUGGAUAAUAGGAGAUAUGCAUGAGUUUUGUUGAUUUCCGGCUCGUUUAUAUGCCCAUUGAUCGUUUCAUUCACUGUCCUUCUUAGCAUUGGUUUAAACCUAGUAAAGUUAUGUUUCAUUUUGCUCUAUGUGAAGAUAUUGUUUGCUAUUUUCUCGUUUGGACCCGUCGGUACCCUUCCCACCAAUCCAAGCCCGUUGAAAGAGCAUUAGAUAUGGUUUCUCUUGAUUCAUAUGUAUAUUUUCUUGUUUACUUUUCCUAUUUUGUUUUCACGUUUUUACUCUCCUCCAUCCCUCCACCCCUCCACCCUCUAAUCCACCACGCCCAUCUUUCACCCACAUACCAACCCACUUCUGCCACCACCCAACCCGACAUCAUACUUCUACAUAUCCUUCAUUCAUGACUCCAUCCCACCAUGCAUGGAAAUACCAACCCUAUUACAAUCCGUUUCUAUGCCUCAUUCAUACCCAUUUCCUAUCCACAUGCAUGAAACCAUGUAUGGAACUAUGCAUAUCAACACCCUUCUAUGGAACCAUGCAUAUCACCACCCUUCCGUGCCCACCUUACCCAUUCUUUCUUACCACCUCUCUCUACACCACGUUCAUAAUGCCCACUUUCUAUCCACAUGCAUGAAACCAUGCAUAUCACCACCCUCCUAUACCCACCUUACCCAUUCUUUCUUACCACAUUUCUCUUUCUACACCACGUUCUUCAUGCCCACAUCCUAUCCACAUGCAUGAAACCAUGCAUAUCACCACCCUCCUAUACCCACCUUACCCAUCCUUUCUUACCACCUUUCUCUCUACACCACGUUCUUCAUGCUCACUUCCUACCCACAUACAUGAAACCAUGCAUAUCACCACCCUCCCAUGCCCACCUUACCCAUUCUUUCAUUAACCUAUCUCUCAUUCCGCACCUCCAUUCUUCAUGCCUUUCGGGAACCAUACCACCAUACCCAUAUCAACACCCACUAACCCAUUCCCUUAUCAUAUUAUCGAUACCCUUUUCUCUUACUUAUCACCUUUCUCAUUUUCCAAACCUCCAUCACUCGCUCCACUAGUCUCAUACCCAUUUUUCCUCACCACCGUGGCAACCUCCAUCCACACCGCCCUACUUUCUUGUCCUUUAUCUUAGAGAGAAAAUUUUGGUAAGUUACUCAUUUUAAUUUCUACAGUGGGUGUAUUUUUUUAUGUUUGUGGGUCUUGCAUAUUGGCUUUGAGCCCUUGGGCCUGGGUGUAAUUGGGCAUGGUUUGAGUUGAUUAUUAUAAAGCAAGUUGUGGGCUGUGAGACCCUUGGGACCGUUUAGGCUUGGGUCAUUAUGCUAAUGGAUAUGGGCUUGGGAUGGUGCCUAGGCCCAUAUGUGUUGAUGAAAGGCCUCAUGUUUUGUUCACCCAUCUUAAGUUGGCUCAUGCCCAUUUCAAGUCCAUACUCACUUCAAGUUAGCCCAUUUGUUUGUUUUCAAUUUACAUAAUUUACCUUUUUAAAAGCCCUAAUUUCUCAAUAAAUUUUCUAAAUUUAAAUUCCAAUUUCUGAAAUUUUAAUUUUCACAUCAAUUUAUUUAAUCAAUAUUACUUUAUUCAUUUGUUUAUUUGUUUAUUUUUAAAAUUCAAUCUUUAAAAAAUCCUUCAAAAUUCCGAUUUCUAAAUUUUAAUUCUAAUUUCCGAAAUUUUAAUUUGCAUAUCAAUUUAUUUAAUCAUUAUCAUUUUAUUCAUUUAUUUAUUUGUUUAUUUUUAAAAUUCAAUCUUUAAAUAACUCUUCGAAAUUCUGAUUUCUAAAUUUAAAUUCCAAUUUUCGAAAUUUUAAUUUUCACAUCAAUUUAUUUAAUCCUUAUUAUUUUAUUUAUUUAUUUAUUUGUUCAUUCUUAAAAUUCAAUCUUUAAAUAACUCUUCAAAAUUCCGAUUUCUAAAUUUAAAUUCUAAUUUUCGAAAUUCCAAUCUUUAUAUCAAUUUAUUUAAUCAUUAUCAUUUUAUUCAUUUAUUUAUUUGUUUAUUUUUAAAAUUCAAUCUUUAAAUAACUCUUCAAAAUUCUGAUUUCUGAAUUUAAAUUCCAAUUUCCGAAAUUCUAAUUUUCACAUCAAUUUAUUUAAUCAUUAUUUUAUUUAUUUAUUUAUUUGUUUGUUUAUUUUUAAAAUUCAAUCUUUAAAUAAUUCUUCAGAAUUCCAAUUUUUGAACUUAACUUCCAAAAUUCCCUUUCUUAAAUUCAAUUCCCAAGACUCCAAUUUCCAAAUAAUUUUCGAGACUCUGAUUUUCAAACAAAUUUCAAAAAUCCAGUUUUCACUCGAACAGUUUUAAUUCCAUCUCGAUUCUCAAAUAAUCUGUUGUUCAUCUUGAUUUUACAUAAGUAUGAAUGUCAUUUUUCAUAAUUCCAUAAUAAUGGAAUUUGUGAUAUUAAUUCGUGCAAAAUAGAUCGGGCUUUGGUGGGGGCCCCACAUACGUGAUUUUAUGAUUGAUUGAUUUAUUCUAUUCCAUAAUAUGCACAUAAUCAUUCUAUGUUUGUUCACUAACCAUUUGUUUUCCUUUAAGUAAAUCAGUUCAUCACUGAGGUACAUUAUUUGCGUCUCCCAUUCAUUCAAUUAUUUUGUUUUGAGUGGUAUUUAUUUGGUAUCUAUGUUCGAUUAAUCAAUUGUUAUGCUUGUUUCAUUUUAUUAACAGAGAUCCAUUUUAGAGACUUAAAGGGAUGUUAUAGUCUUUAUCGUACCUUCUCGAUAAGUAACCUGACCCUCGAACCCGAUUCGGUUUUUUGUAGACCACCUUUUCCAAAUAAGGAGUCACACUUAGGGUUUUCUUUCUUAUUUUGUUUACCAUUUAAAAAUAAAAUUAAAAUAAGUGGCAACUCCAAGUUUUUUUUUUUUCAAAAAAAUCAAAUUUCCAUCAAAUAAAACAAAAAGCGAAUUUCGCCAUCGAGGGGAAGCGCAUGAGCCGAAAUGCGGGGUCCACGUUUAGAUUUCCACAUCUUUCCCAAAUAUUGUUGAAGUAUUGGUUUGACAAGGGCUAUUUUCUUCUAGAAAAUAAGUGAACAUAUAUAUUAUUAUCACUUCAAAUAAAGUCUAUGGGAAUUAUGGCUUCUUACUUCAAUGUUAAUCUGGAUAGACAACUCAUAUUUUUAGUCAUUACCAUAAUUGUUGCAAUCAUGCCAUUAAUAUAUUUGUGACUAGUGUAUUUAAAUACCACAUCCACAAUCAUAGCUGUAAUUGCUCCAUGUAUCAAGCCAUUACAUGCGUUUAUAUACCCAUGUAAAUUAUGAAUGAAAGCAAGAGUUUUUCUUUUGUUUUAAAUCUAUCAACUCAAAGCUUUACUUAGAGUUAGGGAUGAAGUUAGGCAAGUUCACCCGAUCUAAUUUGAACCCAAUCCGAUAUUUGAGCGGAUUUAAACAAUCAUUUUUAAUAAUUGGGUUGGGUUGAGUUAGGUUUUUUUCAACCUUAACUUAAUUUGGGUUGGUCUUGGAUUAAAGUUUAGACAACUAGAGUUUAACUUGAAUCCGAUUUAAUAUUUUUAUAAUAUUUAUAACACAUUUUAUUCUAUGUAAUAAUAUAAGUUUUCUUUUUCUAUUUUUAUGAAAUAUAUCAAAUUAUAUUAUAUACUAUGUUUUUCAUUAUUUUUAGAAAAUAUAUAAAUUUAUGUUUAUUCUUUUAUUGCUAUCUUGAAAUUUUGUCCUAUUUGUUAUUAAAAUUUUCAUAAAAAUGCAUUAAAAUAAUAUUAUACAUAAAUUUUGAAUUAUGCAACAUGACCAAUUCAAGUGUAGCUCGAUCAAUCUGAAUUUAACUUAAAUAGCUCAAACUCAAUCCAAGUUUAGAAAAAUUAGAUUGGAUUGAACUUGAGUUUAGUACAUUGGGUUAGAGUUCAAGUUGGGUUGAGUUUAGAUUGAUUAUUUCUUAAUUCAAGUUAGGCUUAGGUUAGUCAUCAACUUGAUCAACUCACCCAAUUUACAACCCUAGAUAGAGUACCAACUUUCGAAUCAUACUUUAAUAAACCCAAAAGCCUAACUAAGAGAUAAAAAAAAGCUACCUAAAAGCAAAUCAACACAUGAAAUCAACUUGAAUUUUUAUCGAAAAAACAAUAUCAGUAAUACAUUUAGGCUAUGUUUGAUUCUCGAAAAAUGAAGGAAAAUAAAAAAUAGGAUUAAAGUCAAUAAGUUAUUUUUAUAUGUUAACUUCUUCAAACUCAUUUAAUUUAUUUCUCUCUAUUAUAUGAAGAUUAAAUAAUUUUUAAAUAUAUAAAUUUCUAAUGAAGUGUAAUUAUAAUUGAGCUAGGAGAGAUUUACAUUUGAGAAGGUACCAACAUCUUUAGCCUAUCUGAGUCAUCUAAUAUAUGUCGAUCUUUCUUAUAAUAAAUUUGAGGUACUUCUUAAUGCAAUUACAAAGCUAAAGCAUUUACAAACAUUGAAACUUUUUCAAUGUUUGUAUCUUAAAGAAUUGCCAAAAAAUAUAAACAAUUGGAUAAACUUGAGGCAUCUCGAGAUUGAUGGGAAUAGUGGAUUGACUUUUAUGCCAUGUGGGUUAGGAGAAUUGACUAUGCUUCAGACUCUACCAUUGUUCUUUGUUGGGAAUAACAGCAGGAAUUCUAGCGAUAAGAGAAUUGGUCGGUUGAAUGAAUUGAAAUGCAUUAACAGUCUCAGAGGAGAAUUGGCAAUUGCACGUCUUUCAAAUAUGAGGGGUGGUGCAUUAGAUUCCAAGGAAGCAAAUUUGAAAGGAAAACAAUGCCUUCAUUCCUUGAGAUUAUAUUGGUUGGAGCCAAUAAAAUGGAUGAUAUGGGACUUCGAACCAGAAAGGAACAACGUUGAGGAGGCUGAGUCAGCGACUCAAGUCCAAAGGAGCUCAUAAAUAAGGAUUGUAUUGGUGAGAGGUUCCCAAGUUGGAUGAUGAAUGAUGGGUUUGGUUCAUUGCUCCAAAAUCUAGCGAAAAUUAUGACGAAGAGUUGUAAAAGAUUCAGAGUUUUACCAGUACUGUUUGGUCAACUCCCUUCUCUUCAGUAUCUGGAGCUUGAGUACCUAGAUUCUGUAUGGAGAACAUGAAGAGCUACUCAUCAUCAGCAACACCAUUCUUCCCAUUCCUGAAGACACUUUGACUUGAAAGGUUGCCUCAUUUAAUGGAAUGGGGAAAGAGGGGCGUAGCAGCAGAGCAAGCUCCUUCAUUUCCUUGUCUUUCCAAACUAAAGAUCAAAGUUUGCUGGCCGGCCCUAAAUUGAUGUCCUUGGCAUUGCCUUCAUCUCCUUCUAGUCUUUCUAUUCUAGAUAUCAACGAAUGCAAUAACUUGGCAUCCUUGGCACUACCAUCAUCUCCUUUUCUUUAUGGUUUCUCAAUUAGACAUCAGCUCUUGCAAUAACUUGACAUCAUCGACACUUUCUUCAUUUCCUUGUCUUUCUCAAUUACAUAUCAAUUUUUGCCAGAACUUGAAAUCAUUACCAUUGUCUUUGUUCCUUGUCUUUCGAAAUUGCAUAUCAGUUCUUGCCAUAAAUUUUUGCAAUAAAUUACUGUUUUUUGAGGAUUUGUUUUGAAAAUAAAUUACUUUUUGCAAUAAAUUUGAGGUGUUUUUAAAAAAUAAUAGUUUUUAAAUUUUUUUAAAACACUGAGGUAUAAAAAAAAAUUAUUAAUUACCUUAAAUUUUAAAUCUUUUAAAAGUGACUUAUUUUUAUUUUUAUUUUUUCUUCAGGAUAUGUAAGCCAUCUCUUAUUUGACCAGGGACUUGUGGAGCUGUUGUCGUUACCUGUAAAAGCUUGUGCAUGAUGGACAAUGAUAUAGUACCAAACAGGAAAGGAUUUGGUGGAGCUUCCCUUUAAAGUAUGUGCAUGAUGAUGAAUUAUGAUCAUUUGAGGGAUUGACGAUUUUUAGAAAGAAAAAAGUGAAUUUGAAAAAGAAAAUGUCUGAAUGAUACUGACACCCAGCCUGUAAAGCACAAAGUGUGGUCAGACUAUACGAAUCAAACUUUAGCAACAUUGCCAAUGUAUUGGUCUCAGCAACACCAAUUUAAAAAUCCCCAUUAAACUCGGUAGCUCAGUGUUUACAGAUUUUGUGUUCAUGGCUGGUUCUCUUGAGAAUGCCAUGGUGCUGUCAUCAACAACCGAUGAAGAUGAGAAACAGAAGGGAAGUAGAAGCAAAAGAGAGAUCAUUUCCACCCUCCCAACUGAAAAAGGCUGGAAAAUUCAGGGUCUUAUGUACCAGUACCAAGGCUUUUGGUACUAUUCUGGGGGUGCGGUAGAAGGAGUCAUGUGGAUGCAAAAAUGCUUCAAGGCAAGGAAUGAAGAUGUUCUCUUGGUCUCCUUUCCAAGAUGUGGAACAACAUGGUUGAAAUCUCUCAUGUUUUCUAUCAUGAAUCGAACCAGGUAUGAUUUCUCAGCACACCCUUUGCUGACUUCUAGCCCUCAUGAACUUGUUCCCUUCUUGGAAUUCUACGCAGAGCAGAACAUCCCCUUCCCAGACCUGGACACACUUUCCUCUCCUCAGCUCUACCAUACUCACAUUGCCCUCACUUCAUUACCCCAACCUGUCAUAGACUCUCAGUGUCGAAUUGUCUAUAUCUGUCGCAACCCCAAAGAUGUGUUUGUUUCUAUUUUUUGUUUUCUCUCGAGAUGGAAUAUAGUGGUUCCCCUUGAAGAGGCAUUUGAGUUGUUCUGCAAAGGAAUUAGCGUGUAUGGACCCUUCUGGGACCAUGUUUUAGGGUAUUGGAAGGCUAGUUUAGCUUCACCCCAGAGAAUAUUGUUCUUGAAAUAUGAGGACGUGAAGAGGGAUUCCUUGUGCCAGGUCAAGAGGUUGGCAGAGUUCAUGGGCUUUCCCUUCUCUUCCGAGGAAGAAGGACAAGGUUUGAUACAUGAAAUUAUGGAGCUGUGUAGUUUUGAGAAUCUAAGAAAUUUGAAGGUAAACAAGACCGGAGCAAUAUCUGUGGGCAAUGUCAGCACUGGAAAGGAUACUUUCUUCAGGAAAGGUGAGGUUGGUGAUUGGAAGAAUCAUCUGACAGCUGAAAUGGCCGAUCGCAUUGACAGGAUCAUGGAGGAAAAGUUGAAAGGUUCUGGUCUGACGUUCAGCGACUCCUGUGAUAGCUGAUUAUUAAUGCUGGAGGUGAACUUCAUAUGAUUUGUAUUAAGUUAAUUUAUUAACUAUCUAAUUGUCUUCUGUUAAGUGUGCUUGUGUUCUUGUAAUAAAUGGAAUGAUGGUGUUGAGUUAAUUUGCAUUAAGUUGUAAGGCUUUCUUAAUUUAUAUAUAAAUUCAAUACUUGGCUAAGAAAUCAAUUCCACCAAAUAUAUGGACCAAUUAAAUUGGUCUCAUGAAUAUAACUAACUCAUCCUUGUCAAGAAAUUCCCGAACCUUAGAAGGGCAACAUGUGUUUCAUGAGAUUGUUCAAUUUCUCCCCUUUUUUUAUUUCAAUCUACCUAAACAAGCUCAAUUACAAAUUUACAAUUAAUUUUAUCAUAUUUUAAUAAUAUUUUAAAAAAUUUGUGUGACACGGGUCUCAUGAGCUUGUUCCCUUCUUGGAAUUCUACUUACACCAGAACAUCCCUUUCCCAAACCUGGACACUUUCCCCUCCGCAACUCUUCCAUACUCACUUUCCUUUUACUUCCUUACCUCAACCUGUCAUAGACUCUCAGUGUCGAAUUGUCUACAUCUGUCGCAAUCCAAAAGAUGUGUUUGUCUCUUUUUUCUUUUUCUCUCAGGCAAAGAGCCCAUCCCUUUCCAUUGAAGAGGAAUUUGAGCAGUUCUGUAAAGGGGUACGUGUCUAUGGACCCUUCUGGGAUCAUAUUUUAGGUUAUUGGAAGGCAAGUUUGGAUUCGCCCAAGAGAGUGUUGUUCAUGAAAUAUGAAGAUCUGAAGAGGGAUUCCUCAUUUCAUGUCAAAGAGUUGGCAGAGUUCAUAGGCUGCCCCUUCUCCCCGGAGGAAGAAACCCAAGGUUUGGUACAUGAAAUUAUAAAGCUGUGUAGCUUUGAGAAUCUAAGCAAUUUGAAGGCAAACAAGAUAGGAGCAUUAUCUGUGAGGGAUAUUAGCAUUAGAAAUGAUACUUUCUUCAGGAAAGGUGAGUUUGGAGAUUGGAAGAAUCAUUUGACAGCUGAGAUGGCUGACAGUCUUGACAGGAUCAUUGAGGAAAAGUUUACAGGGUCUGGUUUGACAUUCAGUGAUUCCUGAUCUGCAGAUGAUCAGUUGUUGCAAAUGUAACCAUAUUAAUGGUGUCAUGGAGGUGUAUCAAUUAUGGUUUGUAUUAAUAAAUUUGAAAUGUUUUCUUAGAGUACUGCAUCUUGCAAUUUAAUGUUUUUAUAGUGUAGUUAGUACUUAGUAUAGCUAUGAAUCCUACCAAUUAUUAGCUACACUAUUCACGCUUAAGAUUACUUUUAAAUUAAAAUAAUGCUUAAUAACUUGAAUUAAGUCACUGAUGAUUAAGUCAUAUUAAAUUAUUAAGUUGAUUUACCAAAUACCAUCCAUGUGAUCAUCCAUUUUAUGGUGAGAGCAAUCGUAAGUUCACGGAGUUGUCUCAUUUUAUUCCUCAGUUUACUCAAAACAAGCUUAACUAUAUCUAGUUUAAUCUCAAAUCAACCUCCAAAUCAAGGUCUUCAAACAAUAUAUAUAUAUAUAUAUAUAUAUAUAUAUAUAUAUAUAUAUGCAUAUGCUAGACAGAGGGGUGAACAAAGCCCUUUAAUAAAGAGUUACUUGAUUAAAAUUGAUGAAAAAAAUCCAAAUUUGCACUCUGUUCUUUCUUCUUCUCCAUGAGAACUUCCAACUCCAUGUUCCCACAGCUUCAUAAAUAAAUCAUAUAGCACCAUUGAGAAGAGUCAACAGCUUUGUACAAGAAAGCAUUUAAUAUACAUAUAAUUUUAAAACUUAAAAAUAAAUUUAAAUAUUCUUUUAUUCAUGAUAAUAAAUAUCAAAAUAAUAUAGAUAAAACAACUAAUAAUUUUGAAAUUAAAAAAAUAUAUAGCUACUAAAAUCUAACUUUAAAUAAUAGAAUCUUAUUUUAUAAGAAUAAUUAUAAGUUAAACAUAUUUAAUAAAAUUAGAAAUGCUAAAAUUUUAAUAAAUCUUCAUGGCACCCUUAUCAUAAUUUAAUCUAUUAAUAUUAAUGAUAAAAAGAUGAAAUUUGUUUAAAUUUUUUUAUUUUUAUAUUUUUAACUUCUAAUAAUUUAUAAAUUAUAUAUUUAUGACAUCACUAAUUUGACUACGGUUCAACCAUCUGUCCGACCAUUAAAUUGUGAAUCAAUAACUUUUCUAAUUCAACGAUCGAUCAUAUUCUAAAAACAUUUUAAUAAGUAGAACUAUAUUUUAGAAAUGGUUUUAUUAAAAAUAAUAAUAAUUAUGAAAUGAAAUUUUAGAACAAAUAGGGAUCUAAAUUGCACUCAAUUAUUAGGUGUGACCUUUGUUCCUCACAGGGGUUUUUGGUUGUAUCUCCUUAAACUAUUGGAUGGGGGUAGUGUAGAAUGAUUUCUAAAACCAACAUUUUUUUAUUAGAUCUUUUUAGUGAAGUGAUGUGUUUUAUAAUUAUGUCUAGAUAAAUACGUAUGCUGCACAACUAGCUUGACUCCUGGAUUUGGCCAUGUAAUUGAUGCAUGCCCUGAUUUGGUCAAGGGUUAACGCAUUUGGAACAUGGAUGGGGCUUUAAUCGGUCCUAUUGGCAAGCAUAGUGGACACUAGAUAAAUUGCUCUAUGACUUGGUUUCAUUAAGAUAGACCUUAAUCUCGAUAUAGGAAUUAGAGAGUUUCACUAUUCAAGAUGAUAAUUGGCAUUAAUAAAGAAAUGAGCAGGUGUAUACCACUUUAUAAUAAGGGUCUACUUUCUGGUCGAGUGCAAAAAAAGAAUUGAUUUUAGGCCAUUGGAAGAUGCAUCAAACUCCAAUUUUUUGGGAUAUAAGGAUUUGCUUUGUGGGUAGAGAAUGACUUACUGGUGAAAAACUGGUCUUGUAACUAGUUCUAUACAUAUUUCUAUCUUGUCUGAAAUUUCUAAUAGCCCAAAAUUGUAUAGUACAUAAGCUUUCAUUCUUAUCUUAGUUUCUUCAUAGGAUUUUUUCCUAUGGUUUUAUCUUAUAAUUAUCUUAACCCUUACGUAUUUAUGCUUGUUCACCCCGAAGCAAUGGUUGACACUAUGAUUAAGGAGUUUUAGAAUGCACACAUUUUGUUGUGCCAAUAGAAGCAUUAAUGUAAACAUAUAAAAUAAGAACACAUUAAUAAAGCAAUUCAUAUAAUUGGAUCCUCAAACAUCUCACUUUUUUCUACUCUUUGCAUUUCCAUCCUGAAGCAUAAGUCAUUUUACUCCACUAGAUGUCUCUCACUCUUCCUUACAUCUCUAUUCACCAUGUAUAAUCCUCGUAAACCCAUAUUUUUUUCUCAUAACUUUUUCCCCUCAUAAUUUAAAAUAUUCAUUGAUGUAUUUCCACUAACUUUGAAUCUAAUUAUAACCAUAAAUAAAUUUAAGAAAUAUUUUAUAUAAUAUUCCUUUUAAACAAAAAGUAUAUUAUAAUCAGGAAUUUGAGAUACCUGUAAGAGAAUAUUACAAAGCAUGCAUUAUGGGUCACAUGGGAUGAUUUUUAAAAAUUUAUUUUUUUGAUUCUUUGUAUACGGACAUUAAUUAUUUAAUUAAUACACAAUAAAAAGUAGAAUUAUUCUAUAAUGAUUCCAUUCAAUUCACAACUGGCUUAGGUAUGAUCCAAGCUUGUGAACCUAAAAAUCAACUAUUGGGGGCAUUAUUUGUCACUUUGUUGGUACGAGGAAGCCAACCACCCCACUUUCCAACUAUGAUAUAUAUGAUGCUCCACAUUUUUCUGGCUAUUUGCCAAAGGCAUAAUAAUAUUCUAAUUCUACUUUCUCUUAAAACUCAUCAUGGUAAUACACUUUCAAGGCAUUCUUGAUCAAGUUGCAUAUCAUAGUUAUUCUAUUUAUUUUCUUACAAAUAUGAUAAUAAUUGUGAAUCUUUAAGUUUUAAGCUAACUUUCAAAUAUCAUUUAUCAAUGAUCAAAUAAAAUUAAAAAUAUUACUCUUUUUAUUAUAAUAAUUUAUAACCUAUUUUUUAGUCAUCUCAUUCUUAAAAUAUAAGAACCCAUUGUUUCUAACAGUUAACAUGUCAUUUAUUAUAGAUGCAUUAUUUAAACAUUAAUUAACAAUUAUUUUUAUAAUUUUGUCAUUAGAAUUUAACCACUCCUACUUCAAUUAAAGUCAUUGUUCACUCAUCUUAAAGCACUUUUAUUCGUUGUCCUUAAUUCAUCAAGUUAAAUAUCGUUAUCAUACUCUUUUAUGGUAAAAGACGGUCCAAAUUUAAAAAAAAAUAUAUAUAUAUAUAUAUAUAUAUUAAAAAAUUGUAAUAAAAUAAAAAUAAGAAUGGAGAAUUCAUAUUAAAAGUAGAAAACAUUUUUAUUAACAUCACCCAAAUAGCACAAGAAGUUCCUCUUACUUUUUCAAAUAUAUAUAUAUAUAUGACUUUGACUUUGACUUGUGAAAUAAAAUUCUAUUAUAAUUUCUAUUCGGUCCUACAUGAUUUUGUCUAAAAGGGUGGUUAAUAAAACUUAAUAUUUAUUACUUAAUGAUUUAAUUUAAAUUUAUAUUAAAUUAUAUUUAAGUUGCUAACUUAAAAUUUAUUAUUUAAUUCUUACUUUAAGCAUUAAAGUUAUUUGAUAAAAUUAACUUACAACUUAUUUUAAAUCAUCAAAUUGAUAUAUUUAUCCUCAUAAAUCAUAACUAUGAUAAAUGAGGUCGAGUAACAAUGGAAAUUGUAUAAUAAAGGAAAUCAUAAAGGUAAUUAAGGUAAAUAAAGGUAAAAAAGUAAAAUAAAAAUAUGAACUUAUUACUUAAAAUUAUUUUUUGCUUUAAAUUAUACCAUUAAAUUAUCUUACCAAAUAUAUUUAAUUUACCUAAUUAUUUAAAUUAAAUUAUUAAGUCAUUUUAAGUUAUUAAAUUAAUUUACCAAGCCCCGUUUAAUAUGAAUCGAACGGAGCCCAAAUUUGUAGUUUUAUUAUUUUUAAUUUUAUAAUUUGGACUUAAUACCCACACCCCAAUGUGAAAACCCAUAAAACACGUUAGGCGAAAAGGAUUAGUCACGUGCUUUCACAAAAAAGAAAGGGUAGAAAUGUAAAAGGCAAUACCACAUAUUCAAUGGAAGUGAGACUCAACUACCGGCGUUACCUGUCACCACCACCUGCCGCGGCGAAUAUUUCACGCAAUACGCGUUCUCCAAAGUUGACCGCAAAAAAUUCUUGCACCAAUGCCCUUCUACUUUUGCCUUUUUACAAUAUUCCUUACAUUCUUCAUUUGUUUUGCAAUUUUGUUUUUUCUAAUUAUUUUCUAAAUUUCAAAAUAUUUUAUUUUAAAUUUUGUUUCAAAUUUGGUUUUAGAUUCUUCUUCUCAAUCACUAUAUGCAAAAGAAAUACGCAUCGUAAAUUACCAAAAAAAAAAAAAGAAUUAGUUAAUCGAGAUUUUUUUUCGAACCCAAAAAAACUCUUUAAUUUUAUGAUUAAAUUUUUAUUAUUAAUAAUAAAUAUUACAUGAAAAUUAUUUCUAGAAACAUUAAUAUAAGUCAAAGGAUGAAAAAUACAUCAUCUUUUCUUCAAUAUUAAAAAAAUACUAAAAAUCUAAGGGGAAAGAAAAAGAGUAGUGGGGCCAAAACACAAAAAAGAUGAAAAGGGGGAAAAGUAUGCAAAAUGUGAAAAGAAUCCGGCAAAGCACAGCUGCAAUCCUGUCUGUAUAUAUCUACACCACAAGUUGGCUUUGUGGCUAUUCACAAACGUUUCACACAAUCUCUGUCUCGUCUCAUGGGCUGUUCCACUUGGGACGUCUUCUAAUAUAUUUUCCAUUUUUUCGUCUUUCUUUUUCUUUUCCUUUCUUUUCUUUCUCCCCGGAAGGAAAGAAAGGGAAGAAAGGAGGCUGUUUGGAGAGAGGGAAAAAAAGAGGGUGUUAGCAGGGUUUUUUUUUUUUUUUUAGAUCUUUUCUUUUCUUUCUACCAAAGAAAGGAAGGAAAGAAAGGGGGGUGUUUGGAGAGAGAGAAGAGCGUGUUUGGAGGGCGAGAAAGUGAGAUGGGAAAGUACACAGAGCUGCUGGAUGCAGGGGUGAGAAUAAUGGCAAGGUUCCACUCACACUGCCCACAAACUGCCCGGAUGUACUACCACCCUCCUUCCAACUCCGACCACGACCACGUCCACCACCAUCCUCACGGCCACCUGGCCUCCUCCGCCGGCCUCGGUGGAUCCAGCUGCGGCUCCAAGGGGGUCAAGGAUGCUCAUGAAGAUCAGAUCAUUCUCUAUUCCAUUUGAUAAAGAGAGAAAAAACAAAAAAAAAAAAGAGGGUUCAUUUUGUAUCCUCCUUUUCUUCUCUUGAUGUUUUGUCCCUGUCAUGGUUGUUCUGAUUUGAUUUAAUUUCAUGAAUUGAGAGAGAUCUUAAAGAUUCCUUUUUCUUUUCGUUUCUUUUAUUUUUCCAGGAAAUUAUAUAAUAUAUAAUGAAAUGUAAAAAAUUAUAUAUGAAAUAUUUCAUUAUUAUACCCGACUUUUCUUUUAGGAAUUUAAUUUAAUAUAUAUAUAU